GCAGAAAAAUGUAUAUUGGAUUGCUAAUUUGAGAAGUGAAAUUUCUUGAUCAAAUCACAAAGAUAACAGAAACGCAGCUAGCAAUUUUCAUUAAUUGUGAAUUUGCACAAAGUUGAGGAGAACAACAAAAGAGCACCGUUAAAGAUGCUGGUAAUAAAGAAGAAGCUUCCUUAUCCCAUGGUCCAAUGAGUCCAAUCAAUAUAGAAGAUGUUGACACACCUCUUGGUCAAAGUUACACCAAAGAGCUCAAAAAAUCCAAUCAUCUUGUAAUAUUACAACAUCAGGUUCAUUGCUUCUCACUUCUUGAUUCACUAUUUUCACAAACUUCCUCUCAAACAUGUCAACGUGCAAUUGAUGCAGGUUCCAGAGUACUAAUUAUGAGAAGAAAAAAAAGAAGAACAUAAAAGAAAAGUUCAUAGGAGAGUUGGAGCAAGAACUCUAUCUAUAUCAAAUAUAAUAUAUCUGGAGUCUGCUGUUGCUCUGCCAAGGCAAGUAAUGGGAAAACGUGUUACGCCAAGCUCAAUAAUUGAGGUGAAUGUAGUGUUGACUUUCUGUAGGAAAAGCGGCCCGGACAAUGUCAACACGUGGAUACUUGAGUCGUGCUAGAAAGUACUGUCCUAAGAAACUAUUUCAGGAUAUUAAAAUAUUUUCUCAGGAUUAAACAAGUCUUCCUCUACUUUGUGAGAGGGACGUAGAACCAGCAAAAAAACUUGUUUCUAACCCAGCAGAAAAGUAAGAAUGUUGUGAACGAUAGACAAAGGAGGAGGUAGAGAGAGUUUUGAAGUGUAGACUUCGUUUUGUGCAGUGCAAAAUGAGCCUGGCAACUGGUUCUAUUUAUAAGCUUCACGGGACGGAAGAAGAUAGAUUUUUGAAAGCUAAUUUUCCGUGAGAAUAGGCUUGCUUCGUGCCAGACUUUAUCUUUUGAAGUAGUCAGAGGUCUAUCCUCUGUGGUGAUAAGUUUGGAAAAGAUCAAGUCAUUUGAAAAAAAGGCCAUCCGAAGCUUAACUUCCUACUAUCUGGCACUUGAACUUGCCUUUUAGUCAAAACCUUAUCUUUGAAAACUUCUCCAUCAAAAUAGAAACAACCAUUUCUGAUGAAGUAUUAUCAGAUAAAGCUCUAGUCCGAAACAAACGAAAAAAUCUUUUGAAAUAUCAAGUUUUUACAACACUUUAUUUCUUGGUAAUUGUUUGCCACAGCAGAAGAAGAAAGCAUCUCGCAAUUAUUUAACAGGCACCAGCCACCAGUAAAAUAUACAGCGAGAAAAAAAGGAGUCUUGUCGGCAAUAUUUGAUUAUUCAUGAGAAAUCUGUAGAUCUUGAACUAAGUUCAUUCAGCAUCAAUCGUUACACUAGACAGAAAUCUGAUAUCAGAGUGAAAAAGAAGACGCCAUAAUGAAGAUAGCCUCCAGUAGCAGCUUCACUAGUUUCCUUGAUUCUACUUUAGAUCAUCUAGACUUGCCAUAACGUUUGGGCUCAAGGUGCAUGGUCGAUUCGGGAAGCUGGAGAGGGGGAUAAGCCUAUUGAUACCGUUUGAUCUGUAUGUUACAAAUUGCAGGAGGAACCAAGAAAUGCAUUGGGAACAAGAUCUGGAGGACAAGGGUAAUACUGAUAGUUUGAGACUCAGUAUUGUUUUGUUCAGGAUUCAAGAUCUGGUUAGGACGUUCAUGCCCGGUCCUGAGUCUGCUGUUUUUACAUAUAUUCAGUCUGAUGCAUUAAAUCUUAAUGACAUCGAAACUGAGCUCAACAGAUUUGAGGAAAAUAUCAGGUUAUUUUUUGAGACAGAAAUCCGACCAUCGUGCAUCAUCAGUUUGUUGCACCACUGCUCACUGGGAGAUCCACAACUAGUUACAAAUUUGAUUGACUCCAUUUCAAAGAAUCUGGACUGGCUUACCAGCUUUUUUCACACAUUUGACAAUGCUCUGCCUUUUGUAAUGAUAACUCUUGAAGCGAAGAUAUUGUUCUUGAAGAGUUUCAUUUGCUUUGCCACAGUGCAAGGCAUUGAGGGUAAGGGAUUGAUCGAUCUGUUGAUCCACGCUGAAGUUGUGGCCAUCAAAGCUGCACGCCUGGUUCUAUAUGUUGGUUUAACAGAAACAGUGAACAAGUGUGCAAUGAAAUGGAAUCUCAAAUUUCUCGACUGAUAUGCAAGGAGAUUGAUAUGCGAGAAACUUAUAUCCAAGUCCUGACAGCUUCAAAGUUAUCAAGAUCGUCACACACUUUAGUGCUGGAGAAGAAUAAGCAUCUAUUGGCCAAAUUUAUUGAUUGUCUCCUGUAUAAUGUUAUGGAGCUACUAGAACAUUUUCCAAAUUUCUCGGUUCUGGUGAAGGAUCAAAUGCUAAUACUCCACGAGGGAGUAAGGUUCCUGAGUGUCCUCCUGGGGCAGCAGCAAGAGAUAUUCGAUGGGCUACACGAUCAAAUGAAGGAUCUUAUUGGAUUUGUGGCCUGUGAUGCAGGAAUCGUGAUUUUAUCCCUUUCAGCAACUGAUAUGAUAGAAGGUUUGGCCAAGGAAACAGAUCUUGCGCUUUUUCAUUUGGUCAAAGUGCUCAAGUUCAUUAUGGCAGAAUUUGCACAGAUUUAUCCACCACCAUCAUUCAGCUUUCCUUGGACCAAUGAGUUGGGCUGCUUUGAUUUCCUCCAAGAAAGUCUUCAAGAUUUAUCAAAUUCUGAAGCUGAUUCAAUUGAUCUACCAAAGGAUCAUAUCCACAGAGUGCAACAGGAUCUUAUGUUCUUAAGAUCUUUCCUCGAGAAUAUUGUCGGGCAGCGCAACCAGAACCAAAAACUCCAAGCUCUUUGGGAUCGUGGUAUGGAGGUGGCCUAUAAGGCAAAGUUACUCGUCAACUCUAUUGUAUCUGGGGAUAAAUCUGAAUGUUUGGAUAGCCUUGCUGGAGAUAUUGAACUGAUGAGGACUGAGGCCUUGGGAAUCUAUGACAGCCUCAGCCAUGGCACUGACGCUCAGACAGUUACCAACAAUUCAGCUCAUAUGACAUCAAAACUCAGUAGCACGGCAUUGAAUGAAGCUACGGUGGGUCUUCAUGAAACAGUGCAGACAAUCACCUGAAGGCUUACCGGCGGUUCAAAGCAGCUGGAUAUUAUUUCAAUUGUUGGGAUGGCUGGACUCGGUAAGACAGCAUUAGCAAACACAGUUUACCACCAUAUGCAAAAUUCAAUUUCUCGCCACUUUCAUAUUCAUGCUUGGUGUACUGUUUCUCAAGCAUACAACAAGCACAAUUUGUUAGCUCAGAUUUUGUCCAGUAUUCAUCGUGGUAUUCCUGGCGAAUAUCUUAACAAAGAUGAAGAUAAAUUGGCUGAAGAGCUAAGGAAGGUUUUGUUGAGAAAUAGGUAUCUCAUAGUUUUGGAUGACUUAUGGGACAUUGAGGCAUGGAAUUUGUUGGAAAGAUCAUUUCCAAAUGAUGCAAAUGGAAGCAGGAUUCUCUUAACCAGUAGAAUUCACAGUUUGCCAUUGCAAUUAAAGCAUGCUAGCGAACCUUACCAUCUUCGCCAACUUACUGACAAAGAGAGCUGGGCAUUACUGCAAAAUAAGCUAUUUGGCGAAGUAGAUUGUCCUCCAACACUAACUGAAGUUGGAUUCCAAAUUGCAAAAAACUGUAAGGGACUAACUCUCACAAUCGUCCUUGUUGCUGGAAUUCUUGCAACUAUUGAGCAAGAUUGCUGGAAAGAAGUUGCAGAAACUCUAUGUUCUAGCACCAUUGUUGAGACUGAACAAUGCAAGAGGGCAUUGGAGUUGAGUUAUAGUAAUUUACCAGGUCAUCUGAGGCCAUGCCUUCUUUACUUCGGAGCAUUCCCAGAAAAUGCAGACGUCCCUGUCCGAAAAUUGAUCUGGCUUUGGAGCUCUGAAGGAUUUCUGCAAAAGACUGAAGGAAAGAUUUUAGAGGAUGUGGUCGAUGAGUACUUGACCGAUCUGGUCCAAAGAAGUUUAGUUAUGGUCACCCGACAAAGAUCUAUAGGUGGUGCCAAAGCUUGCCGAAUUCAUGAUUUGAUACAUGAGUUUUGUGUGGGAAAAGCCAAAGAAGAAAGUUUUCUACAGAUUUCUCAUGGGGAAAAUGAUCUUUUUACUCUGACUGGACUGCACAACCUUCACCGACUAUGUAUUUACAAUUCCAAGCCAGAGAAGCUUAAGAAGUUAAAGGUAUUCUUUCCCACUUUACGUUCUUUGCACUUCUCUGCUAAGUGGAAAGUGUUGCCUUAUUUUCCAAUCGGGGUUCUGUUAUUUAAACUUCUUAGAGUGUUGGAUUUGGGACGGUUUGGUUUUACCCAUGAAUUUCCGAUGGAAGUGGUAUUGCUUGUUCACUUGAGAUACUUGGCGAUUCGGAGCGUUAUGUCCGUGCCAUCUGACAUAGCUAACCUCUCAAGUUUAGAAACUUUCUUAUUGAUACAAAGCUGGGAUGAUGUUGUGCUACCGAACACUAUCUGGAACAUUCAGACAUUGAGGCAUCUAUUCAUUAAAAGUUCCCGGUGUGGUUUUCGUUUUCCUGCUGACAGUCUUGCGGGCUCCCCGGAUUUAAAACAUUUAGAGACUUUAAGCCUUGCAAUUGAUUCCUCUUCUCAAAGCUUGCAGAAGAUAUUGACAAAGUUACCAAGCAUCCGCAGGCUAAAAUGCGUGUCUUACAUUGAGAAUUAUAGUUCUUCCAGAAACUGGAUUCUCGUGCUGGAUGGUCUGAGUCGACUAGAGUCACUUAAAGUGAGAAAUCUUGCUCCGUUGGAAAUUAAAUUCCCACUUUAUUUGAAAAAGUUGACUCUCUCAUGUACUCGUAUGCCAUGGACUGAAAUUUCAACGAUUGGAGAGCUGUCCAGUCUUGAAGUGCUUAAAUUACGGCAUGAAGCCUUUGUAGGGGAAAAAUGGGAAAUGAAAGCAGGGGAGUUCCUUAACCUCCGAUUCUUGGAAUUGACAAAAUUGGAUCUCCGAAGUUGGACUGCCACUUCUGACAAUUUUUCCCGUCUUGAGAAGUUAGUUGUCCAAGACUGCUAUGUACUGGAAGAGGUCCCUUUUUGUUUAGGGGAAUGUUCAAAUCUUGAAAUGAUAGAGCUCGCAUGGUGCUGUAAGUCUGCUGUGACUUCUGUAAAGCAAAUUCAACAAGAACAGAUGGAUGCAGGAAAUGAUGAUCUAAGGGUCAUUCUUGAAGAUAAUUGGGACUUUCCGAUUCUUCAAAGCGUGGUUGAAUUAACUCUUCUCAUCACUUGAGGCAAUUGUGAACCAAUUCAUGUCUCUUGUUGAAUUCGUUUAAGAGUCAAUUCAGAGUGGGAACCAAAUGAUGUAAUUUUAUAUUCAUGUUUCUGGAAACAAUUUCUGGAGUUCUUUGGCUUCAAGUUGAUGCAGCUGUAACAUUAUUGUGAUUGAAGUCAUAAGAAAAAUCAUGCAUUUACGAAGUUUACAUUGUCUAUCAUUAUUUUUUUCCUUUUUUUUUUCAUUCACGAUUUUUUUUUUGACAAUUUUUUCAUUCAAGAUUUAUUAGUGUUCACAAUCUAUCAUCCCAAUUUAUUUAUUUAUUUACUUUUUAUCUUCGCACCUCUCCCCACGCACUUCCUACCCUCUACUAUCAAUUUCUUAAAUCCUCUUCCAUGUGAGUUACACAAGCAUUUAUCCAAAAUAAAGAACGGUACACUGAAUAUUAAUAUGUAAACUUCUUUGUGAUUAACAUAUGAUACACUUGUUUUGCAACAUAUAUUAAGCAUAGACCCACAAAAAAAAAAAAAAAAUUCCUAAGACCUAGAUUUUCUUACUAUUUUCCUCCAACUUUCUAUUUUACAAUUCCUUUGACACUUUUAUUCACUACAAGACUCAAGCAUGGUAGGCUCAUUUAAAAGUUGUAUCUUGAAUUUCUAUUUCAUAAAAUUAAUUUUUUCGGGCAAUGAAGCUUGUUGCAAUAAUGUUAUGUUUGCUGCAUGCUUAUGAGCAAUUUCUAACCCUCAGUUCAGUUCAACAUAGGACUGUUUAUCAAAAAUUUCCUUUUCAUUUCUCAUGUUCUUUUUCACUUUUACCUAGUAUCUAUAUCAGAGAUUUUCUUUUUAAACUAAUGCCUCAAUGAUCGUUUCCACUACUUUGUUUAUUUCUCUCUUGGCGAGAUACGAAAAGAUGUAGAAAUAUGUAUUAUUCAAUAUUUUAACUUUUGACAAGAAAUUAUACAUUGUCGUGCUUAUGAUUUAACAUAUUUACCUUUUACAUACUCAUAAAUUAAUUUUUGUGUAAAAGAUUAAUUACCACAAAACAUUAAGAAUUUAAGAUCUAAACAAAAUUCAUGCCAACUAGUUACUAGAUCUCUUAUGUUUUUCCUUAAAUAUUUGAAAUUGGAGGUUCCCAAUUCUUUGGUUUGAAGAGUAAUUGAUGUAAUCAGAAUCUAAAAUGUUUUUCAUGUUCUUUUAUCGUUCAUGUUUUGUAGUAGCACUUAUCAUCCAUCAUUUGUACCUUCCAAAUGCCACUCCAGCAACAAACUUCAAAAAAAAAAAAAACAACGACACAACAGGGAUUCUCAAACUCUGUACCUUAAAGAUUUCCACGUUCAGGCCAACAAACUUCAAGAGUUCUAGCUCUUCUCCACCAGAUGUAUAGAAAAUUUUUCAUGUGCAAAUAAUCCAUCUCUUUCCUCUGCGUGUACAAGAUUUCUAAUUCUUUUUGAACACCCCUCUUCUCCAACAACAACGGAGCAACUAGUAUAAUUGGGUAGUCCAAUGAUUACACAUACUGACUCAUUAACCUAAAUUUAAAAAAUUGUUAUACUGGCUAAAUAUGUGACAAAACAUCAGAUUUUCCCUGUGUAAAUCUUGAAAGUCCGAUAGUUGACAGUAGCUCUGUUACCACUGCCACUAUCUUGAUUCCCUGUGUUAUCUCGUCAAAAUCUAUCUUACAAGGACUUGAGGAUAAUCCAUCUUGUGUUAAAUCGUAUUUUGCUUUGACGAUGUACAUCAGGGCAUAUCGAGAAAGUCCCACAAAGCAAAAUGUUUAAGAGCCAGUCUUGCUUGUGUCCACGGUACCAGUUUGAGUAGUUCUAUUUCCCUGCCCAUUGUUUUUCUGCAUGAAUUCAUACUUAAAAAUCGAUGGUGCCCCCCUACUGGGUUUUACAAGUGUCUUCGAGUAUUAUUAUAAUAUAUGUGAAUCCCUCUCAACAAUUCAAAGAAAUUGAGGAAACUCUUCCGUGCUACAAAUAUUUGCAUAAUCUUGUUCCAUAUUAUGGCAUAUAGCCCAAUGUAGUUUUCUACUAGUAGAAGUAUUUUCUUUUCCUCUGCAUAUGUUUUAUGAAUUUCCUUUUCAGUUAGUACCGUUAUUGAUAAGAAAGUGGAGCGAAAUUGAUCGUGACUUUCCUGGUUGGAUAGUAGUACAAUUAUUUAACGUGGUGGACCUAUAGAACUAGAAGCAGACUCAAAUUAUUGCACGACCUAACUUCUGAAAAUGGGGAACGUAAAUUAGUAGCGGUUGGAACUUGCAAGUUAAGUUUAAAUGCACCGAUUGAAAAAGUGAAGGUUGAUGAUUAGAGUGUGUUUGGAUUGUAAGUUAUUUGAGAUAUUUUUACUGUAAAAUUUUUUGUGAUGUGAUGUAUGUGAGAUAAAAAGAUAAUUGGGAAGAUAAAAAGGUGUAUUGAAAAUUGUAAUGAUGAUAUAAGCAAAUAUAUUUGGUCAAAUAACUUACAAUCCAAACACACUCUGCGCGCUUCUUUUGUUUUUGCUUAUACAGUACUUCGCAAGAUUAUUUUAAGUUGAAAAUAAAGAUACUAAAAUAAAAUUAUGAGAACCCACAAGAUGAAAUGAAGUUAAAGAUGCAGAUGUUAAAAUAACUUCUAGGACAUGUUAAAUUAACCCAUACUCAAAAAUCUUACAGGUAAUAUAGAAUCCGGGACAUUUUCUUGCGAUCUUGAAAUGGUUGAGAAGAUUGAAAAAUUGACACUAGAUUACUAUGGCCCAACAAUUGUCAAGAUGAGUCAGCUCAAGUAGUAGAGAAAAAAAAAAAAAAAAAGAGGUUUUCAAAUCCCAUCUUCAAUAUCUUUUUCAUAGUAGGCUAUUUGUAGUUACAAUCAUAUGAUCCCAUUGAAAAUUUGAUGAAGAUGUGAACUAUGAAAUAACUCCCCUUGUGCUUCUGUUCAAUCAUUCUUUGAUUCCCUCUAAGAGCCUCAUUUACACCUAUUAAUCAGUAGAAAUUUCUCGAAUAUGAUGCAGGAACAUUUUUUAUUUUUUCCUUUCCCAAAAGUAAAAUGACUUUUUUCUUUUUUAUUUGUUUUUUUGGGGAGAGUUUGAAUUGAUCAUUGUGUAUGCAAGGCUUUUUGGCAAUGGAGAUUGUCUAUUAUUAAGGAGAAAAUUGUAGUACUGUUACUGAUAAGAAAGUAGACCUGUGAAAGAGCCUGUGAGUUUCCUAGCAGUGUAGUCGUACAAUUAUUGAUUGUGAUGGAUCUAUAGGUUAGCAUUUUUCCGAGCAAUGACAUAAGAAAUAUAGUGAAAUUACUGCAUGUGAAGUUGUGUGGUAAUAACUUUUGGAUUGCUAUUUUUAGAAUUUUUGUAAAAAAUAUACCAUAAUGAUUUGAUGCAAAUGAGUUAAAAAAGUGAUUAAAAAUAUAUUUAUAAAAAACUUAAAAUUUUUUCUACAAAAAAUCACAGUCUAAACAAGGCCGUUCUAUGUUAGAAUAAUGAGAUCAUUGAAGCUGAUUUUGAAAAUUAUGACUUCAAAGUUGAUUUUGACUUCUUGGAUAGAUGAUUAAUUGUGCACUUAAUUUGUGAAUAUUUUGCCUUUUAUUUUACCAAAACAUGAUAUUAAUUAUUAGAUUAUACUCAUAUAUGAUUUUUGGUGUUGUUUCUCGGAAUUUAUAGUGAAAAUAGAGUAAAAAGUGCAUUAAAUAAGAAAUAUACAAAAGAUUAUAUUCUGCAAGGCGCAACCACGUCUUAAUCUGGUGAGGAAUUUGAAAUGACCCUGCCUGAUAUUUCUACAUAUCGAUUCAGAACGGAAUUACUUUCCUUACGGAGCUAGACUUUGUGAUUAAUUUUUAAGAACAGUUGAUAAUCCUCAUGUAAAAUGCCAAAAUUUCCUCAAAUAAAUAAAAAAUGCUACUUUAUAUAACACACACGAUUCUACAGGAUAGAAAUAAAAUGAAAAUGGCCAGCUUUUUUUAUUUUAGGAAUUCUUACAUUUAUGUCUGCUGCUUAGGCACUUAGUAAUUUUCAGUCGCUUUUGUACGGUUAUCCCAAAUAAAUAUAUGAAAAGCGUUAAUCUAAGCCUGCUGAUCAUAGAGCAUGCCUGUUACAAUUUAUGAAUACUCAAUCAAAGCGGAGGAGGGGGAUUGAUGUUGAUUUUUUUUUUCUCACUUUUUAAACUUAUUUUCUUAGCCUCACCAGUCACAACAAAGGGAAAAUGUUCACUCCACUUGAAAAAAUAUUGGGUAAACUGCUAUAACCUCCUGUGAUUUUACAUAUUGCCUCACAAUCUUCUUAACAUAUCAAAAUAUUCAUCUAAUAGGAAAUGCAAAUUAAUAUAUAGUACCUCUGAUUAUAGUGAUUGAUUCAAAUGUGCUCUAAAAAUUCAUUUUGUAAAAUUAUAAUAUCCACUUAACCACUAGCGGAACCAUUACAGGGUGGAAAGUGGCACACCACUCCUCCCCUUCCUUAAGUUUGAAAAAUCUUGUUUUGCACUCCUAUGUUACCUUAGUUAACCAAAAAAAAAAAAAAAUUACCUUAGUAAAUUAUUUCAUAUUAAGAUUUUGCCUCCCUUACCCUCCCCUUAAAAACUUGAUAUUAAGUCCAUUCUAAUCUAAUCUUGAGAAUCAGUGACUUUACUAGUGAUUAAUUGCUUUGCUCUUGAGUAAAUUAUUUUACAAAUUAAAAUUCUUAAAGAUGUAUAAUAGCUAACAUUUUAGGUUUUAUGUUAUAUGUUACAGUUUUAAUUAAUGUAAUUUAUUUAACUUUGAUAGUUAUACUAUCAUAAAAUAUUUCAAUGUUAUAUAUCCUCAAUUCCACAUAUAAAAUAAUCUUUACUCUUGGGAAAGAAAUUUCUAUAGUUCACAUAAAUUUAAGGCAAAUGCAAAUUGAAUCUGGAAUAAAUGAGCGCACUAAGAUCAAGUUUUUAGGGAAAAAACUAAAAGGGCUUCACUGUCAUCCUUACAAAUACGUACAUCUCUUUUUAAAAAAUUAGAAGAAACGCAAAAAUCUGUAUAUAAAAUUUUUGUCAUCAUGCACUUCAUUGGAAUCAUUAAAUUCUAAGUUGCUGCUUGAGUUUUGAUGUAAAGCAUCACUGUUAAUUCUAUGUUCAGAUUAAUAACAAAAAAAAAGAAGAGAAAAGCCAAAAUUUUCAUUUUCAUGACAGAAAUAAAAAAAAUUAGAAUUAAUCUUUUAGCAGAAAAGUAAACCAAAGGGUAAGUUCCGUGUGAAGGAAGCCAUUCCAAAUUGAGAUGCCUGCUGGGCCUAUGAACACUAUUCCUAAGACAGGAGAUUGGACUUGGAAAUGUGCUUAGUCUAGAAGCAUAAUAAGUAAUUUCAAUUUGAACUUGAAUUUUUAAUUCUACUAAUCUGACAAGUAUCUAAAUCUAUUAGAGUACAUACUAUUAGUAUAUUAAAAAAAUUAAUUUUAAAAAAUAAGAUUAGUCUUUUACAUAUUGAUAUAUAGUAGUAUUGCAUGCCACGUAAUCUCAAUUUAAAUUUAAAAUUUUAUUUUUUUAAUUGCGUGGCAUGCAUCCGACGGAGCUAGUGUAUGCAAGAUCCAAAAUAGAUUGCUACUUGAUAGCUUAAUGCAACAAAGAGCUAACUGUAUCUAAUUUGGAGGAGGGUUGGAAUGGGUUGUAAAGUGAGAGAAAUUAUAAGUAAAAGGUUCAGAUUUCAAAUUCUGUCACUUACAAAAAGGAAAAACAAACGUAAAAGAAAACCUGUUCUAAUCUUUAACGAGCUUUAGGAAUAAAGAAUGGUUAUUAAAAUUAAAAACUCAAAUAAAAAUCAAGGUGACGAUCUUCUCAUUUGAAAUUUGUACAGUUAAAACAAAAAUGAAAAAAAAUUAAAAUUGUCAUAGUUCCCGGCCAAUUAGUACUACUAAUAAUCAUUGAGACCCAGGAUGCAAUCAUGCAACCAGCCUAAGUUUAAAAAAACCCCAAAAAAAACCCAAAACCCAAAAAAAAAAAAAAAAAAAAAAAACCAAAACGACGUGUGUUUCUGCCCGAAAGGUGCAUCAAAAGGUUUCUUGAAAAGCGCCACCACUGAGCGGUGUGGACUCUGGAUUGGAGGUGGAAAGCAUCUUCAUCGUGAAAUCCUUUGUUUAUUUGUAAAAAAAUAAUUCAAAAAAAAAAAAAGCAAAAGAAAAGCAUAUCCUUCACGAUACCUUCAGUUUUGUCGGCAAGAAAGUGGAGGCUUGCUGCUUUGAAGGGUGAACUCUCUCCUUUUAGCAAUUAUAUUUUUAUGCGGUGCGAUUCAAUCGUUGUAUAUAUUUAAAAUUUUAAUAUACAAAAACAUUAUAAUAUUAUAUUGAAUAUGUAUUAACUAUUUUGUUCAAGUAUAAUAUUUUUAUCUGAAAUACAAUAUUAUAAUGUAAUUAUAUGGUUAAUGAUACAAAAUGUAUAAUAAUCGGAUCGAACCAUAAUAGAUCCAAACCGCACUUGGCCCUAUCCCCCCUUUUUAGAUUUUUAGUGAGUCUCGAAAGUCGAAAGUCUGCUUAUCUUUGUCUUUCUGUGUUCAUUGCUUCUCAACUUUAGGUUCACUAUUUUCACAAAACUUCCUCCCGGACAUGCCUCACAAAACUUCCAACGGGUAAUUGUGGCCGGCAAAAUGUCCAGAACCCAACAACCCACUUAACCCGCUCCCUAAUUUAAGAGAUCAGUUGGACGAAUUGGGCAUUGCGUUAGUUUCGACUUUCGAGUUGGGUGAAAGAAAUCUAAAUAAUUUUUGGGCGGUUUUUAAGUUUAGUACCGACCCACCAAACCCAAGAUGCUUAAACAACAUUUGAUUCCUAUUUCCAUCUAUCACUCAAAAAAAAAAUCUAAUGUGUAGUAAACCAGCCGAUUCAUACUUAGGAAAUCAAUUUCUUGUAUUACUAACGUUAACUCUCACUAAAUGAUUAGUAGAAUUAUCAUGUUCAGGUGAUGGAUUCCAGAGAUCGCCAGUUUCAUUCUAUGCAUCACGAGAUUACCAUGGGAAAACUGCUGAAAUGGACGGUCAUAUUUUUAUGAAAUGAAAUGAAAUACUUUUAAGGGUUAAUUUCAGAAACCUCCCCUGAGAUUUUUUUUCUAAUAUCAUCUAGCACUCCUGAAGCUUCAAAAAUCUCACAUAGCUCCCCUUGAAUGACAAUUUAUAUAAAAUUGUCAUCCCUUAUAUGGAAAAAUAAUAUUUAAAAAAUAUAUCAGAGGAGAGAGAUUAUAUUAUCUUUUCACUUUUACCCUUGUACAAUUUGAUUUAUGAAUUUUGAAAUAUGAAACAAAGAUAAAUAAUGUGGAAUAUUAAAUUUAGAAUAUGAGAAGGUGUAAAUGCGAUAAGUAAUAAAUUUAUUCGAUUCAUAACUAGAGAAUUCCGUUGUAUGCUAGGGUAACUUCUAAAACUACUUCAACAUUAUAAAAAGCCAAAAACUUCAAGAGAUUGGUUGGAACAACGAGGAUAUUAAAAGCAAAGAUUUUGUAGUAAAGAGACACGAAAAUUUUGCCCCUCUACCCCCCUUUUAGAUGUUUAGUGAGUCUCGAAAAUAUAUGCUUAUCUUGUCUUUUUUUUUUUUUUUUCUCUUUUUAAAUCUUUAGGGUCACUUGUUGUGAUUAACCAUUGCUGUAUUACAUUUAUACCAUUACAAUGCCAGGUUCACCGCUUCUCACUUUUAGAUUCACUAUUUUCACAAACUUCCUCCCAAACACGCCCACCAACGUGCAAUUAAUGCACGUUCCAACGUUCUAAUUACGAGAAACAUAGAAGAACAUAAAAGAAAAAUUCAUAGGAGGGUUGGAGCAAGAACUCUAUAUCAAUAUAAUAUAUUUGGAAUUUACAGUUGCUUUGCCAAAACACGGAAGAAAAUUCUAUACUAAACAACAUACGAUUAAGGCCCGUUUAGAGUUGUUGUGCUUUUAAUAAAAACAAGUAUAUUAAGGCAUUUGGUUAAUAUCAUAUCAUAAAAUUAGGGGUGAAGAUUUUGAUAUUAAAAAUACUUUAGCAAAAGCUCAAAUUUGGUGUUUUUGGAGUAGUUUUUAUAAUUUAAAAAGCAAAACAAAACAUUAAAUUUAAUCAUUUUAUCCUAUAUCAUGAACUAAAUAAAGAGAUAAAUCCAUUUAAAAAAUUUCAAACUAUACAUCAUCCAAUCUAAUAAGUACUUAUUGAACUAUAUCUCCAAAUAAUAUAUUUAAAAGCACUUAAACAUUUAAUAAGUAGUUUUAUUAAAAGUUCUAUUGAGAAAUUACUUUUUAGGAUAAAAAACAAAAAUGCCCUCUGUGAUAAGUCUAAUACAUAGAAAAACCCCCUAUGAUUUAAAAAUAUACAAUACGACAACUCAUGUUUUGAACUAAAUUGUAAAGGUGACGAAAUCCGUCAAACUUAACGGAAAUGACUUAUUAGAAACUUAACGGAAAUGACUUAUUAGAACCUAAAAAAAAAUUUUUUAUACCUAAUUUUUAUCAAAUAUACCUAUUCUACCCUUUAACCCUCAAUUAUCUCUAUUUAGAAAAUAAAACAAAUGAUUUUUUUGAGCUGUCUUUUGCUUAAUUAUAUCAGGGCAUUUUGGUCAUUUCGUUCAUUUCCGUUAAAUUUAACGGAUUCUGUCACCUUUACAAUUUAGUUCAAAGCAUGAGAGGUCGUGUUGUAUAUUUUGAAAUUAUGAGGGGUUUUUCUGUGUAUUAGAUUUACCACAGGGGGUUGUUUUGUUUUUUUACCCUACUUUUUAAUAUGGUAUAGAAACUCCAAACGGACCCUAAUCGAGAAACAAAUUAAAGGAUAAUCCACCCCUGAUUUUAGAGAUUCCAUGUUCACCUCCUUGAUUUACAGUCAUGUUUGUAUUUAUUGCUUAAGAAUAUAGUGAUUUAGAGUCAUUAUUUUUUGUAGGUGAAAUCAAACAAAUAAUGAAAAAACGUGUUAGGCGAAGUUCAAUAAUUUUUUUUUAUAGAAAUGUAAGAAAUAUUAUUGAUAUUAAAACAAGUCACACAACCUUGAGCAAAGCACAUAUUGAGCUAUACAAACACAAACCUGUACUCAGAUACCGAGGAUGUAUUCCUCAAGCUCAAUAAUUAAGGUCGGCAAAAACUUGGAUGAAACCGAUUUAUCUCCACCAAUGGACCUUGUGUUUUUAAGUAGCCAUGUCACUCCUACUAACUUCUACCAACUGGUGUCAAUGGGUUUCCUCUUCUUGUAAUUUUAGAUUACGAACAAGAAUGAGAGGAAAAAAUUGAAAGCUACAAAAAUUUUUUCAAAAACAAAAAAAGCUACAAAAAAAUCCCAGAAUUCUCAAGGAAGCUGUAUCUUCAUAUCCCAGACUCCGAUCUAAUGCGGACAUUUACAAAGUCUUCCUAGAUCCCCUAAAACGGAUGCAAUGGUACCCAAAUCUGAUGUUUGCUUUAUCCUUUUUUUUUUUACAUGUGCUUUUGCUUUUGGAUAAAAAAAAAAAAAAGAAAUUGCAGCCCUUAAUUAAAUUAAGAAAUCUCUCCUGAGGUUUUUGACAAUUUUACUUAACUCUUUUAAGGUCUUAAAAAUUACAUCAACCUCCUUUCCCUAUUUAAAAUGAAAAUACUAACCUUAAUAUUUUAAUAAAAGUCCUUUAUUGUCAUAUUCAUACAAAGGAUGAAUUUUAUAAUUUUUUUCUUUUUUCUUUUUAUUCAUUUUUCUUAUAUCUCAUUAAACAUAUAGAAGGACUAUUAAUGUUAUCCUUAACUUCUCUCAAGAUCAAAUUUUAAACUAGUAAUAUUUUUUGAUGACUUUUGAUAUUAUCCAAUUUUUUUAGCUCUUUUUUUUAUAUCAAAAUCAAGAAUAAUUAAAAAUAAAUUGCUCAAAAUUACUACCAAAUUAUGGUAGUUCCGUCACUGAACUAGUCCAUAAACUUUUCUUCAAAAAUAAAAGAAAUAGUCCAUAAUUUUUUUUUAAAAAAAGAAAACACUUUCUUUUAUAUUUUAAAAAGAAUCUAUAUCUCUAAUAAAGUACUAUGAAAAAAUAGCCUAUUAAAAAAAGAUUUAUUAUCAUCAUUGAUUAUUAAAUAAUAAAUAUUGAACACUCAUUUUUUUUUUUAUAAUUGUGUCAAAUUACUUUGCAAUUAUUUAGAAGAAUAAACUAAACUUUACAAGGGCAUUUUAUGAAAAUGCUUGCCUCUUUCGUAAAUUGUGGAAGUCAAACCACGAAAACUUCCGCCCUCGCCUGCCUUUUGGUUUGAGAGAAUAGCAAGAAAAUGCAAUUCAAACCAUGGUUAGUUAACUGACUGCAGUACAGUAACUAAAAGCAUCUGUGCCUAUUUAACACGGCAAAAAAUGACGUGCCUUUUCAAGAACUACACGGUCCAUGGGUGGGGCCAUGGACCGGGAUCAUCCAAGAAUUUGCCAAUGAGACGAAUGUGGUGUUGACUACCGUUGUUACCUUUGCCAACGCAGUUAAAAACUAGGUGGUAACACCGCGCGUUGCGCGGUGGUAUACAUGCCCAGUUAAUGUUAGCUAGUAAUAUUUGUGAGACUGAAGAAUAGGGGUAAAAAACGGAGCUAUAUUAUACAGGAAUAAAAGUGAAAAAGCAGUUGCACUGGAAAGAAGUCGUAAUUAUACAGGCGUUGUAAAAAUGUAAAAAAUUCUUUUUCCGGUGAAUGAAUAGAACAUUUAAGGUGUUUAAUUAAAACAAUAACUUACUAACUAUUUCAAGCAGGUGCUUAGAAUCUAAUAUUUGAGAAUCCUUAUCUUGGGCAAACAUUUAAUCACCUAUAAACAGGAAAACCAUUUAUAAGAUCUAGUGAAUCAGAAACAAUUAAUCAAUAAAAGAUUGCUGAAAAUACUUGAUUUAAUAUCCACUUAAGGCUCGUAAAACAAAUAUUCAAAAGGUUUCAACAAGAGACAAUUUUCUGUGCUAAAAGACAUAAAAUUCAACACAAAGCAUUCAAAAGAGUAGCAUCCCAAGAUCUUUUGUAACGUAAAAUUUUGGCCAAUGACCAACUUGGCACAGAAUUCCUAGAGAAGAAAUUCAUUAGUUCUUCAAGUGUUGGAAACCCAAUGAAGGAAAAAGAAACGGAAGAACUGAAGCAAAAAGAAAGACAUUUUGAAGAUGAAGAAAUAUAUUUUAAACAAGUAAAUCUUUUUAGUUACCAUAUACAUUGCUUUUUUUGAGAAGAUCAACAAAAUACCUGCGUGAAAGACGCCAAAAAAUGAUUAAAAAGAAAAUUUGAAUGAGUUUGAAAAGAGCAAAGGCCAAAGAAAAUAACCAAAGAGAAAGCAUACCAGGUCUGAAGAGAGCAAUUUAAAGGAAAAAAUUAAAUCAGAAUGAUAUAACAAAACUUACGUUUUCCCUCACCAGUUGUUUUUCACGGGUGGCCAUUUUUGCUUCCAGCUCCAGAAGAAAUCCAAGAAAGGUGAAAGCUUAGGUUAAGCUGAAUAAACAAAAGGUCAUUUUCUUCAGCAAAUUAUAGGCACAUAAGUAGGUGAGGCAAAUCAUUUUCACCAUCUGAUUUAAAUAAAAAAAGAAAGGCAAUCUGUUCCAAUACAAAUCUACAGCGUUGUUGGUCCUGUGCAAAAAAUCUGUAAACCAGUUGACAUCAAAGAUUCUUCCUGGCGCUAAAACAAUUGGCUUGUUUGCUACAUCCUUGUAGAUUUCUAGUACUUUGUUGUGUAGUACGAUUGUAUUAGAAGCAUACUGAUCAGGUGCAACUCUUGUCCCAACUUUACCGCCGGAAAGUUCAUUCCCUGGCCAAAAUUGAUGAUGAAAAAUUACCAUCCGAAACUAAUCUCAAGCUAUCUAAAUCAUUUGAAAAAACUAUAUAAAAAUAGAGAAGAAGCAUUUCUGCAGCAGGCUAACCAUAGAAAGGUAAAUGAUAUUACCAAGUUCCCAGCCAUAUAUGUUGUAGCCCUUUUCAACAAUGUAAUGAAUAAAAGCUUCACCAUUUGAGGAAUCCCAAGCUCCAACUAUUGAACCAUCGGACCUUAUUCUCUUCCCAUUCAGAGCAUUCAAACCAAAUAUAAUUUCAGCCCAGGAAUGAAGACAAUGAUUCAUUAAUUUCAGAUCGAUGAGAAUAAGGAUAAAUAAUUACCAGUCUAACUAACCAAGGCGGUGCUUCUUAUGUACCCAGAUUUCUUGAAAAAGGAGUUUAAUUCAUCCCAUCAAGACGAAGGAAGGCACCCUUGAGUGAAGCCAAACAACUCUGGGGAAUUCUUAACAAAUGAAUGGCAGCAUUGAUUACUCUGAAUUUGAUAUAUGACAUUAUCUUGCAGGGUGCCCCCAAGUCUAAUCUUUAAUGGCGAAAAAGCUGCAAAAUUAGGGGAAGAUAGCAACUUGAGCUCCCAUAACGGGACUAUAACGUUAGAAUGCCAUUUUUAGUAAUCAAGAAAGCUAGAAAAAGUUAAUACCUUUUACUGCAUUUAAUAAAAUUAUGUUGUUAAGAUCCUGCAAAUAAAACAAGAAACAGAUCAAACCAGUCCAUUAAACACUAAUCUUUUAAUUCAAAUUGGUCACGCAUAUAAUAGCCCAGAAUCAUUUUGGACAAUUUGAAAUUCGAUAACAUCUCUCUCAGAACACAAUCAAGAUCUUUUGGACUUUAAUCAAAAGGCAAACAAAACAGAGCAUAAAUGAUAAGCGACAAGUAUUGUCUUCUUCCCCUUUUACAACUUCAUUGCUGAAAGCAUCAGAGUGGAAUUCGCAGCCAUCAAAAAACUUUUCUGACACACCAUCUAAAGCAUAAAAAUCACAUCUUUUUAACCGGAAAUGAAUUUGAAGCUAAAAUAUACAGCUCAAACAAGCCAUCAUCCCCUUGUUAUAAAAGACGGCAUUGGUUCAGGUGGAUAAAUCCAUCAACAACUUCAGCAUACCAACGUAGUAAGCUUGCAGGUAACAUUAAAAAAGGCGCACACACACACGCAUUGACAUAAACAUGAGACACAAAAUAGCUGCAAAUGCAGGAAAAUGGAAAGUACCAGAAUGAGAAGGGAAGCAUGGUCCCAGCUACAGGUUCCAUAGUCACAUUUCUCUGGUGGCUACCAAUCCAAGGUGGCACAAAUGAAAUCGUCAUCUAUUUCUCCAAUGGCACUAAUCCCAUCUACAAAUACAAAGCCUUGGGAUGUUCCAGUGUCUUUUACAAUCUCAGAGUACACGAAAAUGGAGCUAUAACUAAACAAAGACAACCAUAUCCACAAUCCCACGUAGUACACAACUAAAUAACCCAUCUUUAUAUCUUGAAGCUAAUCUUCAAGAUCUAUCCCCCAGAAGAAAAUGCUUAGCUGGAAUGCUACAAUUUUUACUCCAUUGCAGGGCUCGCUGGGAAGUUUAUGAUAGCAAAAGAGAGGAUACCAAUUAGCAAAGAUAGAUGGUAUUAAGCUGAGGUGACAUUAGAUGAGUCAUAAAUGCCUAAGAUAGCAAAUUUACAGGUAAUUUAGACUAAAGGCCCCAAUUUUUUUUGGGACUGAGGCUAUUUAAAUCGAAGGUACAAGAAAAAUUCAAGAUUUAAAGCUUGGGCUCUGAGUAAGAAAUUUGAGGCAUUUCUAAUUGGACAAAUCAGUUGGGCUGGAGCAGCAAAUUUCUCUGACUUCCGAUAAGUCUAAGAUUUGGCUGCAACUCCAGCACUAUUCUCAGUUUCCUGAUUUCAAUAAUUACUUCGCUUUCAUUUUCGCUCGUGCUCGGGUGUUCUAUUUUCUCUCCUCUUUCUGCCUCUCUUGCUUUCCUUAUAGUAUGUAUUUAUUUUGAGCACUCAAGCAACACUUCUUAUCCUUCUUGUAGCAAUCUCGGCCGAAGAAAAAUACCAAAAAUACCAGAAAAAAAUGAAGAAAAACCUGAAGCCAACAACAUCAAACUAUUAUUUCCUUUUCUCCUCCUGGACGAUUGCUCUUCAAGAUGCAUGAAUCAGAUCAAGCUAGGCAAUAAGACAAGGAGACAAAACAUUAAUAAAUUUUUUAUUUCCCUUCUUAAAGUGCAACGAAGUUUUAUUGUGGAAAAAAGAAAAAACCAGAACAGUUAUGGCAAGAAAGUAAGGAAAAAAUUAUGCAUAAGAGGAAAAAAAGAGGAACUAAAACUGAGAGAAAAAAUAAAACCCAUUCCUCUCCUUAAAGGGCGACAAAGAUUUCCUGGGAAAAAAAAGGAACAAAACGGUUAUGACAAGAAGGGUUAAAAUAAGGAAGAAAUAUGGACAAGGGAAAAAAAGGAUAAUAAAACCGAUGGGGAAAACAAACCUCGUGAGUACAUGAUUCUCACCUUCCAACACAUGAGGGAAAAAAAUUAGGGAGAAUACGAGCUUGAAAAGUAUACAAAUACAUAACGGCCAAUGUAUUUCUUUGAAUCGAAAGACACAAAAUGCAAUAUAAAGUUGCACACAAUGAAGCAAAAGAAGACACAUUGCAAGUUAAGCAUGUAAAAAGAAAGCAAACAUAGCAUGUAAUGGAACGGAGCAAGCAUAGCAGUAAGAGAGAUAGAGGGGGGGAGAGGUUGGAGCGAACAGAGAAGCAAGCCAUAACAACAAGAAUAAGAAUAUAUAAAAAAACCAGAACAGGGUGAUGCGAAACCAAGUAGAAAGGAAAUUACCUGGAGCAACAGGCAGGCGUAAGCAGAAGAACAAGCUAGAUGAAGCAGUUGAAAUGGGCCUGCAGAAACCAAAAGGAAGACUGUCAAAUUUUUUUUUUCUUUGAUGCGAAACUGAAACCCUGAAAAACCACCAAAGAAAAACAAAGUAAUCCAAAAGGAAGAAAACAAACAUAUGAUACACCAAACAAUUGGCAAAAAACGAUUAGAAUGAGGAAUGCUGAGAUCAACAUAAUGUCUUUUCGUUACUGGUUUAUAACAGUGAAAAGAGCUAUUGCUAAUUAUCUGGUUGUCCCAAGUAAAAUUUGUUUUCCUGGGAACAUGUUUUAUAUCAAAACUAACAUGAAUUGUUGGUCAACCAAAUAAUUAAAAAUUACAGAAGCAUGUACAACAACAUCCAAUUUUUUGCCACAAAAAAAAUAUAUAAGUUGGACAAGAGCUCUCUCCUUGCUUCCAUCUUUCAAUGCAGUUUUUGAGCUGCAAAUAGGGUGAUUAAUUGAGCGUUUUUUUUGUUCUUAGAUUUUCUACAAGACUAUCAUCAUUCAAUAGGGAAUUAUAGUAACCUGGUGAAAGGAUCCAUUAAUUUAAAAAUCCACUACUAAAAGGCCUCAAUUCCAACGCCUUAAUCCUAAAUUCGAAGCAUGACUUUAUUUUAAUAAGCGCAAUAAUAGACAGCUACUAUAGUGGCAAAACAGCGGUAUACAAGUAUACAUAAUUUAAAAUAGUUUUCAAAGCUGUAUUUUAAAAAAAUUUUGGGAGAACAAUCUGCCUCAUGGAAGGGCAAUUGGGCGGUUUGUUAUUCGGUAUCUUGAUUGGGUUAAGCAGACUGUACAGCAACAACAAUGUAAAGCGGGGAAAAUACAGCGUACGGAAGGCUGACGAUCAGGCGCAGGCAGUAAUUUGAGGGAGAAUUUGGAGGGGGCAGCGCUAAUUUGGGGGCAGGGGGGGAGACGGAAGCACACUGAUCCAGUAAAAUUAAGAACCAGAAAGCGAGGGUGGGAAGAGCGGGGGGAGGGAUUCGUCCAAAAUAGAUGCUAUAAUUGGUGGGAUGUGCAAUCAGCAAACAUGGAGGGGAAAAGAAAAGGAAAGGGAAACGGAGAAGGCGAUAAAAGCAGGUGGAAAAAAGAGGAGCAGAGGUUACCUGGCGGAGCGAAAUGGGAAGCAGGGAGAAGGAGCAGCAGUAGGGAAACACCAACGGAAGAACAAUUGACCAGUCGCGGGGAGAGGUGAGGAGAAGCAGCUACAUCGGCCAUCAUUGCAGCAACCUAAUCCGUCAGCAGCCAGGGGGAGACAGCAGAAGGAGAAGGCGUGUAAGGGGGCAAAGCGGAACAGUAAAGGCUGGGGGGACGCAGCCGGACAGAGCGAUGGAGCGGGGAAAAAAUAAAAAAGAGGAGAAGCCAAGACGGGGGGAAAAAGGGGAUUUUUUAACAUAUGGGGCAGGGAAGAUAAAUUUUCGACCUUUACGGGGGGCUAAAUUUUGCAGCUGAACGAAACAAAACAGAAUCUGUGGUCGACGAAGAAAGAAAAAGAAGGACAGAAGGAAGAUGGAGCCGCUAGAGACGAGCUGGCUCAGCGAGCAGAGAGGCACCUGACGGAGCCAACCUAACGGAUGCAGGCAAACAGGGCCAACGAAAGACGGGUCUUACAAGGUGAAACUUGAGUUGAGGGUAAAACUUGAGGGUAAAACUUGAGCUGCAAAGAAGACCGCACAAGGAGGAAAAGCUUCGGCUUGGUGGAGUUGGUACACAGGAGACUGAGGAAGUGGCAGAGAAGUGACCCACGACCUCAGCCAGCCUCCCACCGAGCAAGAAGAAAGAAAGAAAAGAAGAAAACAGUGCGGGAAAAAAAAAGGACACCAAACAAACGAAUUCCCAGCUGCCACGCGGAGGACGACCACGUCCACGUGGACACCGGGCUUCCGCCCUUAGUCUAUAUGGUUAAUAAUGAUCAAAAUCGUCCCUUGUCCUUAAAGAAUAUACUCGACGGAAUAUUUAACACCGCCGAGCAGCAGCCCCCGUAAAAAUACAGCAUCAAAAAAGUAGAUCUUGAACUAAGUUCAUUCAAGAUCAUUUGCUACACUAGACAGAGAUCUGAUAUCAGAGUGAAAAAGAAGACACCAUAAUGAAGAUGGCCUCCAGUAGUAGCCGCACUAGUGUCUUUGAUUCUGUUUUAGAGCAUUUGGACUGGCUUAUGACGACGUUUGAGCUUUUGGAGUACGCGGGCAAGUUCGAUGCUCCUUGGGCUUGGUAUGGUCAACUCGAUGAUCUGACGGACAACGUACGCGUAUUGACACCCUUUGUUCUGUAUGUUACAAACUGCAGGAGGAAGCAGAAAAUGUGUUGGGAACAUGAUCUGGAGGAGAAGGGUAAUACUAAGUCCGACAGUUUGAGACUUAGUAUUAUUUUGUCGAAGAUUCAAGGUCUGCCUGCUGAGUCUGCUGAUCUUGCAUAUAUUCAAUCUGGUGCAUCAAAUCUUAGUGACAUCAAAACUAAGCUCACCAGAUUUGAGGAAAAUAUCAGGUUAUUUUUUGAGACAGAAAUCCGACCAUCGUGCAUAAUCAGUUUGUUGCACCACUGCUCACUGGGAGAUCCACGACUAGUUACAAAUUUGAUUGACUCUGUUUUAGAGAAUCUGGACUGGCUUACCCUCCGGAUUCACACAUAUGACAAUGCUCUGCGUUUUGUAAUGAUGACCCUUGAAGCGAAGCUAUCGUUCUUGAAGAGUUUCAUUUGCUUUGCCACAGCGCAAGGCGUUGUGGGUAACCAAUUGAUCGAUCUGUUGAUCCACGCUGAAGUUGUGGCUGUCAAAGCUGCACGCCUGGUUUCUAUAUGUUGGUUUAAGAGAAACAGUAAACGAGUGUGCAAUGAAAUGGAAUCUCAAAUUUCUGGACUGAUACGCAAGGAGAUUGAUCCCGUUCAUCCCCAAGUGCGAGAAACUUAUAUCCAUGUCCUAACAGCUUCAAAGUUGUCAAGAUCGUCGCACACUUCAGUGCUGGAGAAGAAUAAGCAUCUAUUGGCCAACUUUAUUGAUCGUCUCCUGUAUAAUGUUAUGGAGCUACUAGAACAUUUUCCCAGUUUCUCGGUUCUGGUGAAGGAUCAAAUGCUAAUACUCCACGAGGGAGUAAGGUUCCUGAGAAACCUCUUCGGGCAGCAGCAAGAGGAAUUCGACGGGCUACACGAUCAAAUGAAGGAUCUUAUUGGAUUUGUGGCCUGUGAUGCAGGAAUUGUGAUUUUAUCCCUUUCACCAACUGAAAUGAUAGAAGGUUUGGCCAAGGAAACAGAUCUCGCGCUUUUUCAUCUGGUCAAAGUGCUCAAGUUUAUUAUGGCAGAAUUUGCACAAAUUUAUCCACCACCGUCAUUCUGCUUUCCUUGGACCAAUGAGUUGGGCUGCUUUGAUUUCCUCCUAGAAAGUCUCCAGGAACAAUCGAAUUCUGAAGCUGAUUCAAUUGAUUUCCCAAAGGAUCAUAUCCACAGAGUGCAAGAGGAUCUUAUAUUCUUAAGAUCUUUGCUCGAGAAUAUCGUCGGGCAACGCAACCAGAACGUAAAACUCCAAGCUCUUUGGAAUCGUGGUAUGGAGGUGGCCUAUAAGGCAAAGUUACUCAUCAACUCUAUUGUAUCUGGGGAUAAACCUGAAUGUUUGGAUACACUUGCUGGAGAUAUUGAGCUGAUGAGGACUGAGGCCCUUGGAAUCUGUGACUGCCUCAGCCAUGGCACUGACGCUCAGAGAGGAACCAACAAUUCACCUCAUACGUCAUCAAAACUCAGGACCCCAGCACUGAAUGAAGCUCCGGUGGGCCUUGAUGAAGCGGUAAAGACAAUCAUCAAUAGACUUACCAAGGGUUCAAAGCAGCUGGAUAUUGUUUCAAUUGUUGGGAUGGCUGGACUUGGUAAGACAACAUUAGCAAACACAGUUUACCACCAUAUGCAUCUUUCAGUUUGUCCCCACUUUCAUAUUCAUGCUUGGUGUACUGUUUCUCAAACAUAUAGCAAGCACAAUUUGUUAUCUCAGAUUUUGUGCAGUAUUCAUCGUAGUAGUCCUGAUAAAUAUCUUAACAAAGAUGAAGAUGAUUUGGCUGAAGAGCUAAGGAGGGUUUUGUUGAGAAAUAGGUAUCUCAUAAUUUUGGAUGACUUAUGGGACAUUGAGGCAUGGAAUUUGUUGGAAAGAUCAUUUCCAAAUGAUGCAAACGGAAGCAGGAUUCUCUUGACUAGUAGAAUUCACAGUUUGCCAUUGCAAUUAAAGCAUGCUAGCGAACCUUACCAUCUUCGCCAACUUACUGACAAAGAGAGUUGGGCAUUGUUGCAAAAUAAGCUAUUUGGCAAAAAAGGUUGUCCUCCAACACUGAAUGAAGUUGGAUUCCAAAUUGCAAAAAACUGUAAGGGACUACCUCUCACAAUUGUCCUUGUUGCUGGAAUUCUUGCAACUACUGAGCAAGAUUGCUGGAAAGAAGUUGCAGAAACUCUAAGUUCUAGCACCAUUGUUGAGACUGAACAAUGCAAGAGGACAUUGGAGUUGAGUUACGGGAAUUUGCCUGGUCAUCUGAAGCCGUGCCUUCUUUACUUCGGUGCAUUCCCGGAAGAUGAAGACGUCCCUGUCCGAACAUUGAUCUGGCUUUGGACCUCUGAAGGAUUUCUACAAAAGACUGAAGGAAAGAGCUUAGAGGAUGUGGUGGAUGAGUACUUGACCGAUCUGGUCCAAAGAAGUUUAGUUAUGGUCAUCCGACAAAGAUCUAUUGGUGGUGCCAAAGCUUGCCGAAUUCAUGAUUUGAUACAUGAGUUUUGUGUGGAAAAAGCCAAAGAAGAAAGUUUUCUACAGAUUUCUCAUCGGGAAAUUGAUCUUAUUACCCUGACUGGACCGCAUAACCUUCAUCGACUACGUAUUUACAAUACCGAGCCCAGGAAGCUUAAAAAGUCAAAGGUAUUUUUUCCCAAUUUACGUUCUUUGCUCUUCUUUGCUAAGUUGAAAGCGGUGUAUUAUUUACCAACCGGGGUUCUGUUGUUCAAACUUCUUGGAGUGUUGGAUUUGGGAGGGUUUAUUUUUAACUAUGAAUUUCCGAUGGAAGUGGUAUUGCUUGUUCACUUGAGAUACUUGGCGAUUUCGAGCAUUAGGUCCGUGCCAUCUGAAAUAGCUAACCUCUCAAGAUUAGAAACUUUUUUGGUGACAGCAACCGGUCGUAAUGUUGGGCUGCCGACUACUAUCUGGAACAUUCAGACAUUGAGGCAUCUAUACAUUACAAGUGGCCCGUGUGGUUUUCAUUUUCCUGCUGACAAUCUUGCGGGCUCCCCGGAUUUAAAACAUUUAGAGACUUUAAGCUUUGCAAUUGAUUCCUCUUCUCAAAGCUUGCAGACGAUAUUGAUAAAGUUACCAAGCAUCCGCAGGCUAAAAUGUGCGCCAUUAAAGGAUUAUAGUUCUUCCAGAAAUUGGAUUCUCGUGCUGGAUGGUUUGAGUCGACUAGAGUCACUUAAAGUGAUAAGUCUUGCUCCGUUGGAAAUUAAAUUCCCACCUUAUUUGAAAAAGUUGACUCUCUCACAUACUGAUAUGCUGUGGAGUGAAAUUUCAACAAUCGGACAGCUGCCGAGUCUUGAAGUGCUUAAAUUACGCUAUAAUGCCUUUGAUGGGGAAAAAUGGGAAAUGAAAGCAGGGGAGUUCCUUAACCUCCGAUUCUUGGAAUUGUCAGAAUUGGACCUUCGAAGUUGGACCGCCACUUCUGAUAGUUUUUCCCGUCUUGAGAAGUUAGUUGUGCAAAGCUGUUGGAAGCUGGAAGAGGUCCCUUCUUGUUUAGGGGAAUGUUCAACCCUCGAAAUGAUAGAGCUCAAAUGGUGCCGUGAGUCUGCUGUGACUUCCGUAAAGCAAAUUCAACAAGAACAGAUGGAUGUAGGAAAUGAGGGUCUUAGGGUCAUUCUUGAAAAUAAUAGGUUCUAAGGGUCGUUCUUGAAAAUAAUUGGGACUCUGUUGAUCCAUCCGAUUCUUCAGAAGCAGAGUCAUGGGAUUCUGCUGAUCUAUCCGAUUCUUCAGAAACAGAGUAGAAUUAACUCUUCUCAUCACUUUUGGCAACGGAGAACCGUUCAUGCUCUUCUUCAGAUUCGGACUGCACUCCAAUGAUGUAAAUUUGUAUUCAUGUUUGUGGAAGCAAUUUCUGAAGUUGCACCAGCUGUGACUCUUUUGUUUUUUGGUGCAUUUACGAGGUCAACAUUAUCUUCUUCCAUGCAGAGUUACACAAGCGUUUCUCCAAAAUAAAGAACCGUGCACUAAAAUUAUUAAUAUGUAAACUUUGUGAUAAUUGUUUUGCAACAUAUAUUAAGCAUAGACCCCCAAAAAAAAAAAAAAAAAAAAAUCCUAAGGCCUACAUUUCCUUUGACACUUUAUUCACUACAAAAUUAGUUGCAUGUUAGGACUGAUGCGUGUUAGGCUCAUUUAAAAUUAGUUGUAUCUUGAAUUUCUGUUUCAUAAUAUUAACUUUUUUGGGCAAUGGAACUUAUUGUAAUAAUGUUGUGUUUCCUGCACAUUCAUGAGCAAUUCCCCCCCCCUCCUCUCUCUCUCUAGACAUGGGAUUGUUUAUCAAAGGAAAAACAUUGAAAUUUAUUUUAUGGUCCACUAACUUUUCCUUUUCAUUUCUACUCUGCCAAUAGGACAACUAAUUCAAGAGAUCUUAUGAUACUCCGUAAAGGCUUUCUCAUGUCUCAAUAAGAAAUGGAAGUUCGACUGUAGAAUCUAUAUUACAUUAUUAAUUCUUCUUUUAGGAUUAAUCUUUUUGACACUGAUAAUGUAUACAUUAUCAAUAUUGAAUAAAUGGCAAUUAUAUAAAAUUUAAAUUUAAAAUUCAACUUUUACGCAAAAAUCAUAAAUCUAACGAUGAUAGUAUGUAUAUUUUCAGUGUAUAUAAGAUUUACUCUAUUUUUUAUGUUAAAAGAUAUAGAUAUAUGUAUUAUUGAAUAAUUUAAAGCAUGAUAGAAAACUGUCUUUGUUGUACUUAUGAUUUAACAUAUUUCCCUGUCACAUACUCAAAAUUAUUUUUUAUAUUUAGAAGAUUAAUUACCAUAAAACAGUACGAUAAUAUCUCAACAAAAUAAAUAGUUCAUGCCAACUCGUUACUAUAUUAACACACUAAAUUACGUAUAUUUUUCCUUAAAUAAAGAACUGCACGCUAAAUUGCUUAUAUUUUUCCUUAAAUAAUGAACCGUACACUAAAUUGCUUAUGUUUUUGCUUAAAUAUUGAUAUUUGAGGUUCCCAAUUCUUUGGUUUGAACAGCAAUUGACAUAAUCAGAAUCUAAAAUGCUUUUUAUGUACUUUUCUCGUUCAAGUUUUGUAGUAGAACUCCAUCAUCCCAGCUUCUAACAGCUACUCCAGCAACAAAGUAAAAAGACAACGCUGGGAUUCUCGAACUUUGUACCUUAAGACUUCCACCAGAUGUUUAGAAAACUUUUCGGGUCCGUUUGUUUCGGGUGAAAAUGUUUUCCAGGAAAAUAUUUUCCUAAUUUCCCAUGUUUGGUUACACAAAAGUUACUGAAAACAUUUUCCUAUGUAAAAUAUUUUCACUCAUCUUAUGGAAAACAACUUCCCUUCCAAACUUACUGAAGUUGUUUUCCGAAAUGCAUGCAUCCCGCCUGUAGUAUGUUCCAAACUUACUGAAAACAUCUUGUGGUAUGUUCUUUUUUUUUUUAGUGUAAAUAGGAGGAUUCGAACCCAAGACCUCUUCCUUACACUCCUUCCCCCGUACCACCCAACCCAACCCAACCCUCCCCCUAGUAUAUUCAAAAUAAAAAAAAAACCUCAUCCUGCUCAUCCUAUGCUAGUAAUUAAUUAUGUAUAAUAGGAACAUUCUUUUUUAGAGAAACUUUCAACAGUUAGAGUGCAAGAUAUAUGUCACAAUAAGCAUUGCAUGUGAUUGAUAUUUGACACUAAAUGGCCAGCAAUUUGUUGAUUGCUUAAGGAGAUAUUUUUUAUUCAUAUAUACAUUUCUCCAAGAUUUUUUAAAGUUAAAUAAUGAGAUAAAUUUUCUUAUUUUGCAUGGGAAGAAGUAUGUAGUUAUAAUGUGUAGAAAGUAAAGAUAGAGAUAAAAGUGAAAAUAUUUCAAAAGUUAAACAAACACCAGAAAAAUGAAGUAAAAAAAUAUUUUCAAUAAGCUAACCAAACACCUGAAAAUGAUGAAAGGGAAAUGAUUUUCAUGGAAAAUUACUUUCACGGAAAAUAUUUUCCCAAGGAAAACAUUUUACUUCCAACCAAACAGACCCUUCAUGUGUAUAUAAUCCAUCUCUUUCCUCAGCGCUUACAAGAUUUCAAAUAUUAAUCGUACAUUUUAACGUAUUUUAGUACAAUAGAAAAGGAGAAUUUAAGUUUUUUUUUUUUUGGUGCACAUGAUUUUCUGUAAUGCUCAAAUGAAGGCAUUCUACAUUUUUCAAAUAAGUCGUGCCUCUGUCACAGUUGAAUCAGAGUUUCUUGUUAAUUUAUGAUGUCUGCAACAUCAGCAAUUACAACAACCCCAGUGAAUAUGAAUCCCUUCGUGUUUCACUUGUGCUUAAAUGAUAGAUUUAUUUUGAAAACUAAAAGCUAGCAACCAUGAAUAAAAACUGCGUGUGUUUGGAUAGGAGAUUAUUUGAAAUAAUUACUGUAACACUUUUUACGAUUUUAUGCAUGUGAGAUAAAAAGGUGAUUGAAAAUAUAAAAAAAUAAUGUGUUAAAAAUGUGUUUAUAAGGCAAGUAAAUAAUUUUUUGCCAAAUAAUUCUUAUCCGAGCACAUUAAUAAUUAUCAACGAAAAAAUGAAAUCAAUUUUUUUCCGUCUUGUUUUGGACUGCUUGCUUGAGUUUUCUUUAGGCUUUUCUUCUACUGUCUAUUUUACUUUGUCUGAUUUUGGGCUAUAGUUGACGUCUGGGGUGUUUGUCAUUGCUUUUGGGUUUUAUUUUUCUUUAAUUUUGGGUUUUGGGUUUUUGCUGAUUAUUUCUUUGGUUUUCAUUUCAUUUUUUUUUGGUGUUUUCUAUUUUUUGAUUCUAUGUCAUUUUUUGUCCUUCCUAUCUUUCUUUCUUUUUUCUUUGUUAUGUAAAAUAGAAGAAAACCAACAAAAUUAAUAGCUUGAAGCACUAGGUAAAAAUAAAUAAAUAAAUUCUUUGAUUUCUUAUUAAUGUCUCUACCAAUUGAAUUGGAGUUUGAAACUACAUUCUAAAAUUAAUAUUAUACAUCCCAUUUUUGUUCAAUUUGCUAGGGUAGCAAGUAAAAUGAUGGAGAAUGCAUCUAACAAGGACUUAUUCACACACGCUACAUCCAACUCUUGAAAUGAUAGAGGUGACAUUGUGUCAUAUGUCCGCUGUAAGCAGUGUAAAGCAAAUUCAACAAGAACAGAUGAAUAUGGGAAAUGAGGAUCUAAAGAUCGUUAUUGGAGAUCAGUGGGAUCCAUCAAAUUCCUCCUUGGACGAAUUUCUCUCAUGUUGUUAGCCUUCAUUUCUUCUCCUGUUCUUCUUUCUUUCCAUAGUGGUCUUGCUUUUCUGAUGACAAUCAGCUGAAACAGCCCCUUGCAACUUCAAUCUAAUAGAGCCCCAUGUACAGAUUGAAGUUACAAUGCAUCAAAUAUUGUUUGCACGAAAAAAUGCUUCUCGGAAAAUAUUGGUUGUGUCAAAGAGUGUCUAAGGGUCCGUUUGUUUCGGGUGAAAAUGUUUUCCAGGAAAAUAUUUUCCUAAUUUCCCGUGUUUGGUUGCACAAAAGUUACUGAAAACAUUUUCCUAUGUAAAAUAUUUUCACUCAUCUUAUGGAAAACAACUUCCCUUCCAAACUUACUGAAGUUGUUUUCCGAAAUGCAUGCAUCCCGCCUGUAGUAUGUUCCAAACUUACUGAAAACAUCUUGUAGCAUGUUCUUUUUUUUUAUUUUUUAUUUUUAGUGUAAGCAGGAGGAUUCGAACCCAAGACCUCUUGCUUACACUCCCUCCCCCCGUACCACCCAAUGCAACUCUCCCCCCUAGUAUGUUCAAAAUCAAGAAAAGAUCUCAUCCUGCUCAUCCUAUGCUAGUAAUUAAUUAUGUAUAAUAAGGACAUUCUUUUCUAGAGAAACUUUCAGCAGUGAGAGUACAAGAUAUAUGUCAUAAUAAGCAUUGCAUGUGAUUGAUAUUUGACACUGAAUGGCUAGCAAUUUAUUUAUUGUUUAAGGAGAUAUUUUUUAUUCAUAUAUACAUUUCACCAAGAUUUUUUUAAAGUUAAACAAUGAGAUAAAUUUUCUUAUUUUGCAUGGGAAGAAGUAUGUGGUUAUAAUGUGUAGAAAGUAAAGAUAGAGAUAAAAGUGAAAAUAUUUCAAAAGUUAAACAAACACCAGAAAAAUGAAGUAAGAAAAUAUUUUCAAUAAGCUAACCAAACACCUGAAAAUGAUGAAAGAGAAAUGAUUUUCCCGGAAAAUUACUUCCACGGAAAAUAUUUUCCCAAGGAAAACAUUUUACUUCCAACCAAACGGACCCUAAAUGUCUUUCAAUUGACCUCGAAUUGGCAGGGCUAACUUCUGAUUUUCUUGAAAAACUUGGUCUAGAAAGUUCCCCUACUGUUAUCUGUACAGAUUUUCAAGAAACCACAAAACAACAACAGACUGGUGAGUUCUUUUCUCAAUAGAAUGUGUCACCCGUAAUUCAGUACAUGAAUUAGGUUGUUCAAUAUCUAAGUUGCAGGAGCAGAGCAGUAUCGAGCAUGUUAGGUUGAUCAAUCAAAAUUAGUGGGAAAGAUUUCAUGAAUGAAACCUGUUGUUCUUCACCAAUUUGGGAGGAGAUAAAAGCAGGACCGUCACUAUGAACCAUACACUAAGUGCCUGUUUGAUAAUAUAAAAAAGUGCUGAAACUGAAUUCAUUCAGACAUUCAGAUGUUGUGGGUGUUUGAUAAAUAAAAAUUCACCUGCUGAACUUAUUAAGUGGUGCUGAAUUUGUAUGUAUUUUUUUCAGCACAAGAAUCGUAGCUGAAUGCUUAAUUUGAUAAGAAUCAAGAGAUUUAUUUCAACUACUUUAUCUUAUCUACCAAAUAUAUCCCUAUUUGUUAAUUACAUUCAAAAUCCUUAUCUAAUUAAACAACCUAAUAUUCCCUAUUCAAAAUCCUUAUCUAAUUAAACAAAACAACCUGAUAUUCUCUAUUCAAAAUUUUUUUUUAACAAUAGUAUUUUUUUGCAGUAAUUUUCAUCCACAAACAUUUAUAUUUUGAUAUAUAUAUUUUUUGUACAGAUAAAUAUUAUUUAUGUGAUGCAGCUUAUUCACACACAUGUGGCUUUAUGACACCAUAUCGAAAUAUUAGAUAUUGGUUGUCUGAUUUUCAAAAUGCUUCUCGUCCAAGAUCAAAAGAAGAACGUUUUAACCAAGCACAUGCAAGAUUGAGAAAUGUAAUUGAACGUGCUUUUAGAGUAUUAAAAGCUCAUUUUCCCAUUCUCAAAACGAUGAAACCAUACCCUUUUCCCACACAAAGAAACAUUGUCAUUGUAUGCAUUGCUCUUCACAAUCAUUGUCAUUUUCAUACCUAACAAUUUUAAGUUAAUUAAAUCAUAGGUUUUAUUUUCUUUUUGGAUUAAAAGAUAGAAGGGCAAAAUUGUACAAUCUAGUUUAUUAAGCAUUAAAUUAUGAAUAUUUAUCAAACAGUAUAAAUAGAUUCAGCAUUAAGAUUCAGACAUUCAUAUAUCUCUUUUUAGUGCUUAAAAUUCAGCAAAUUAAUUAUUUCAGUAUUCAGAAUUCAGAAUUCAGAAUUCAGAUUCAGUGUUAUCAAACGGAGCCUAAAUUGCUGUAUCAAACCAUUAAAUUGCUUGUGUUUUGCAUUCAAUAAAGAACCAUACACUAAAUUGCUUACUCAUGCUACACUGUUUAAGCCACACUUUUUUGCUUACUCAUGUAUCACUUAAGGUGGGUAACUAAAUUGACAUGAUUAUGAAAUUGUCACACUUUUUUGCUCCAUCUAUAUAUUUCGGGCAGUGUAAUAGAAAGAAUUUUAAGAAUCAUACACUAUAUUGAUUUUAAUGUUAUCCUCCAGGUGAUUAAAAUACAGUACUUGUUUUGCAGCAAACAUAGAAAAGGACAAAUAGUAAGCAGAGAGCCAGAGACGCACGAAAAUACAAAUCGAUUUUGUUACUUGUCCACAGAGUGGUGGUCAAAGUUGCGUAAUCGAGGGACAUCGGAAUCAAAAUUUGUGCUAUUAGUGUCUCGUAUAAUUUGGGUGCUAUUGUUACCUACCGAGCCCAUGUUUCAUUUGCAUUGAGAGGCUUGAAGUAACUCUUCUUUUGUCGUUUCAUCUUUCCUUUCCCAAUUUAAGUGAUUUUUUUUAUUAUAAUAAAAUAGAAUAAUUUUUUUAAUCAUGAAAUCAAAUCUGCAACUAAUAAAAGAUUGAGAAAAGUUUCUUUAUAUACAAGAAUCUAAAAAAUUAAUAACAUACUUAGAAAAAUUAUGAGCAGGAACAUUAAACGAUCUAGAAAUUCAUUAAACUUUCCAACACAUGAAAUUUUAACAUAAGACAAUAGCAUCAUCAAUCAACAAACCACAUGAUCAAUCAUCAGAUUUCAAAUGGUUCAACAUUUUGAUGAUCUUUUGUGACUGUCCUUUCAAAACAAUCUUAUUGAAACUCAAAUCAUGUAAGUAAUUGAAUAGCAUGUUUGGCCACAUAUGAUUCAACUACAUUUGAUUCCAAUAUAUCAAGAAUUUUUUUGGAAAGUUGAGAUGACUGAUGAUGAGGAUAGGAGGAGCGUGAAUUUUGUAUUCAAUGGAGUUGUACAUGUUAAGGAUUCUUCUUGGACUUCAUUUUUUUGGUUCCUACGCGAGUUUGUGUUUUUGUGUUUGGAAGUUGAAAACUUUACUAAUUUUGAUUUGGGAUAAUAUCAGAAAUCUACCUUGAGCUUUUUGACAAUUUCACUUAGCUUCUUUAAGAUUUUAAAAAUUACACCUACUUCCCUUAUUCAUUUAAAAUAACAAUACUAACCUUAAUAUUUUAAUAAAACUCCAUUGUUACCAUGUUUAUAUAAAGGAUGAAUUUUAUAAAUUUUUUCUCUUUUCUUCUUAUUUAUUUCACUUAUAUUUUAUUAGAAAUAUAAAAGUACUAUUAAUGUUGUCCUAACCUCUAUUCUGAUCAUAUUUUAAACUAGUAUUUUUUUUUGAUGACUUUUAAUAUCAUCCAAUUUUUUUAUCUCUUACUUUUUUUAAAAUCAAAAUCAAGAAUAAAUCAAAAUAAUAAAAACUAAUCGCUAAAAAUCACUACCAAACUAUGGUAGUUCUAUCACUGAACUAGUUCAUAAAUUUUUCUUAAAAAAAAAAGGAAGAAACUGCUCCAUAAACUUAAAAAAAAAGUAUAGCAUUUUCUUCUCUAUUUUAAAAAGAAUCUAUAUCUCUAAUAAAACACUAUAAAAGAUAACCUAUUAAAGAAGAGAUUUAUUAUUAUAAUUGAUUAUCAAUCAAUAAAUAUCGACAUAAAAAACUUGACACAAUUUCUUUUAUAAAUGUGCUAAAUAUAUUUACAAUUAUUUAAAAGAAUAAAUUAAACUUUAUAAGAUAAGGGCAUUUUAGGGUACUUAUUAAACUUUUCAUCAUAUUUUAAGGUGUGGUUAUCAAAGUAUUAGAUCAAAGGAGGUAAGUGUAAGUUUUAAAACUUCAAGGAAACUAGUGAAAUUAUCCCAGUUGAUUUUUUAUUCCUUCGGUUUGUGUUUUGCAUUAGGAUAUUGUAAAUCUGCUGAAAUUUUUGGGUGCACUGCGUUGAAAGAAAUUAGCUUUAUUACCAAUUUUGAGCUAGUUUAUAUUUUAAGAAAAUGUUUGUCUCUUACGUCAGUUUGAGAGAAUAGCAAGGAAAUAUGGGUUUGUUUGGAUUGUAAAUAAUUUGAGCUAUUUUUACUGUAGCACGUUUUGUGAUGUGAUGUAUGUGAGAUAAAAAGAUAAUUAAAAAGAUAAAAAAUUGUAUUGAAAAUUAUAAUGAUGAUGUCAGCAAAUAUAUUUGGCCAAAUAAUCUACUGUCCAAACAAACCCUUAUUCAACCCAUGGUUUGUUAACUGAGUCUACAAUAAACUAGAAAGCAUCUGUGGCCAUUUAGCAGGCCAAAGGGGUGACGUGCCUUUUGAAGAACCACAUGGUCCAUGGGUGGGCCAGUGGGCGCUGAUAAGGUGAAUGCGUGUUUGCAGUUGACCGGCAGUGGACCAUCGUUCUUGGGGGGGGGGAGUAAUUGGCUAAUUGCUGCCACAGCAGAGCAAGAAAGAAUCUUGCAUAUAUUUAAAAGAGCGAAUUGCGUGAAAUGUCACUAAACUAUUUCAAAGUGCCGGUUCUGGUCACUAAACUUUUUUAUUAGCGCGAAAUAUCACUGAACUAGUAAAUCUGUACCGUUUUGGUCACUCCGUGUAUUUGUGCCGUCAGGAGAGACGGAAACCAACUUUUUGAGGGGCAAAUUCGUCUGCACAGCUUUAGUGGGAAGAGUUUCAUCUGGUAAGUGAAAGGUUUAACUGUGGGGCUUUGGAAUGUUGGUAAAAUUUUUGGGAAUGUGGACAAUGACAGUGAAUUGAUAGGGUGUAAUUUGUUAGUAAUUGUUAUUAGUAAUUUCCCCUUUUAUCCCUGAUAAAUAGUGUGCUAAUUUCUGAUAUUUACUCAUAUUUGGUAUCUGGACUUCAUUUCAGGAAUGAAGCAGAAAACCACUAAAAAGGAAGGACUUUAUGGAAAAUAGGGAGACUUCUAAGGGCUUCAAUUCUUGGGCCUUUGAAUUGGUGGGGGACCACAAGCUAAAAAGGCAUCUACUCCUUUGGGCUCUUAAAAGAAAGCUACGGAAAGAGACUUGGGGGCAAGAAGUACUUUGAAGGUUUUGUCCACAUGUGUGGGGACCACCUAGAGAGCCUUGAGUCAUCUUUCUUUUAUUGCUUAAAUAGAGAGAACGUAGGGUAGGAGGGACAUCUCUAGUUUUAGUCUUUUAGUGUAGCUUUACUUUUUCCUUCUUUUGACUGGCCUCUGACACACGCCAGGUGUUCGACAAAAUCCCCCAACGGGAAAAACACUUUUUAUUCCUUGCUUCUUAAUAGAAAACGGUAUGCCUUUGCGAUCCAUUAAUUCGUGUGGUGAUUUAAUUAUGCGGCGUGGCUAAAUCUUCCAUCUAGUCAAGGGUCAACUCGACGGCGCAGUCCCGAAAAUCUGUGAGAUCUAAUUAGUUUUCACGUGUUCCUUUAUUUAUUAAUAUUUGCACGUUAUCUGCUUGAAUUUUUAUGGGAUUAUUUUAUUAAUUGGAUGUCAAGGGCCCGAUGUUCAAUGUGAUUUAUUAAUCUCGUGCCAAUUUAAUCAAUUAAAUCCGUAAUUGUUUGAUUGAUUAAUGUUAGUGGCAACUGGUGUGUUUACACAUUAGGGGAACGUGCAAUCUAAUUUAAAUAACCCUCGUAGCGUGUUAUUGGUUAGGGCUAGGUUUUUCUAGUUAUUAAUGCAAAAAUUAAUUCCUACGGUCGUACCUAGGAGUACUUUUCUGGUUAGAGGUGAUUAAUGGUCGUACCUUGGUCAUCUAUAAUUUAAGGAAAAAUUGGUCGUCAGACUAUAACUAGCCUAUUAAUACAUUAAGUGAACCUCUCUUGCAUCAAUGAUCGGAUGAUUGGACUGUGCCUGAAUAGUUGUACCCUUGGCUAGAACUUAUUUAUUCUUGAUUUAAUUCCUGUUUUACUUGUGCUAGUGAUUUACUUAUUUUUAAUUAAAUUGUUUAAUUAUUUUUAGUUUCAUUCCGGUGAAAUCCCCCCCUUAUCAAUUGGACUUUAAAAAGAGACAGAUAUCCCCAGUCCCUGAGGAGACGACCCUACUUGCCACUGUCUACUAUUUAGUAAUUCUUGUCAAUUAAUUAAUUCUGGUAUAUCGGGUUAAGCAAACUCUUCGGGAACAGCGUGAAUCAAGUAACCCAUUGCACACCUAGAGUCCCUGCUCCAGUACUUAGGAUUGAUUAUUGACUGCUUUUAGUGGUAUCUAGGUUCUAUAUUUAUUCUUAUUAUUGCACAGGCCGACGACCUGUCAAUUUUUGGCGCCGCUGCCGGGGACUGGCGUUAUUAUUUGUUUCUUUAUUAAGUUCAUUUUCGCUCUAAUUUUCUGGUAUUUUUCUAGUGUAUGCCGCGAUCUUCUCGUACAGGUAAUUUGGUUUUUGACCCUGAGGUAGAGAAGACUGCGCGUAGGACAAGGAAGGAGACCAGACAGCUCAGAGAGGAGCACUCCAGUGCUACAUCUCAGAGACCUGAGUCAGGAGUUGAACCAACAGAUUCACUUGGUGAUUCUUCGAGUGACUCAGAGCAAGAAGAAAUUUCCAUGGCUAAUGCACGAACAUUAAGGGAGUUGGCUGCCCCUGAUUUAAAUCAGCAGCCUUUAUGCAUUACUUUCCCGAGUUUGAGUGAUAACACUUCCUUUGAAUUGAAAUCAGGUCUAAUUCAUCUUUUACCUUCUUUUCAUGGCUUACCAGGUGAGGAGCCGUAUAAGCAUCUGCAGGAGUUUGAUGUCGUAUGCAAUAGUAUGAAACCCCCGGGAAUCACUGAAGAGCAGAUAAAAAUGAGGGCGUUCCCCUUCUCCCUGAAAGAUUCUGCGAAGGACUGGCUGUACUACCUGUCACCAGGUAGCAUCACCACGUGGGACCAAUUGAAGAAAAAAUUUUUAGAUAAAUAUUUUCCUGCAUCCAGGGCUGCAAGCCUAAGGAAAGAAAUCUGCGGGAUCAAGCAACAUCCAGGGGAAUCACUCUAUGAGUAUUGGGAACGGUUCAAGAACUUGUUACACAAGUGUCCCCAGCACCAGAUAAGUGAGCAGUUGCUCAUUCAGUAUUUUUAUGAGGGGCUCCUAUUCAGAGAUAGGAGCAUAAUUGAUGCUGCAAGUGGAGGGGCACUGGUAAACAAGACCCCUCAGGAAGCACGGGAGCUAAUAGAGGGGAUGGCAGAAAAUUCACAGCAAUUCGGUACGAGAGAGGAUGUCCCAAUACGCAAGGUGAACGAGAUAGAGACACCAUCUGUCCAGCAGCAGCUAACUGAGUUGACCUCGUUUGUGAGGCAACUGGCUGUAGAGAGAGCAACUCAGGCCAGGGUGUGCGGGAUUUGCACUGGUAUGGGACACUCUGCAGACAUGUGCCCAAUGCUUCAGGAAGAAACUGCAGAACAGGUGAACAUGGCUGGUCACGCGCCCGCGCCAAGAAGAACCUAUGACCCGUACUCGAAUACGUACAAUCCCGGCUGGAAGGACCACCCAAAUCUCAGUUAUGUAGGAAAUAGGCAGCCCAACUAUACACCGAACAUGCAGUCUAAUUUCGUGCCAAAUAAGCCACCAGGGUACCAGCAGCAGUACCAACCCCGACCACCUCCGCCCCCAAGCUCUGGUCCAUCUUUGGAGGAGAUGAUGAAACAAGUGAUGGCAACCCUCACGCAAAAUCAGCAGAGGACGGACUCCGAAAUGCAGGACAUGAGGAAUCAGAUAAGUCAAAUGGCCACAACAAUCAACCGUUUGGAUUCCCAAAACCAAGGUAAAUUGCCGUCUCAGCCCGAAUUAAACCCGAAGAAUGUUAGCGCCAUGACCUUGAGAAGUGGCAAGGAGGUCCAAGGACCUGACCCGGUGAUUCCUAAGGACAAGGACGAAGAUCGAAUUGAAAAAGAACUGGAAGAGGAGGGCGGUGACAAUAAAAAUUCAAACCCACUCAUGCCAGUUAGAUCCACCCCACCUCCCUUCCCAAGCAGAUUGGAGAAACCAAGGAAGCAGGACAAGGAGAAAGAAGUCCUAGAGAUCUUUCGCAAAGUGGAGAUCAACAUUCCUCUUCUAGAUACGAUUAAGCAGGUACCCAGAUACGCAAAAUUUUUAAGGGACCUGUGUGUCAACCGAAGGCGAUUGAAGGGAGAUGAGAGAGUGGUAGUGGGAGAAAAUGUGUCAGCAAUUCUGCAACGAAAGCUUCCUCCGAAAUGCGGAGACCCAGGUAUGUUCACUAUUCCGUGUAGAAUAGGCAAUAUCUUGAUUGGAAAGGCUAUGUUGGAUUUAGGAGCCUCAAUUAAUGUGAUGCCCAAGUCUAUAUAUGCUUCAUUGAGCUUAGGUCCCUUAAAAGAGACUGGGAUAAUAAUCCAACUGGCUGACCGAACUAAUGCAUACCCUGACGGGUUGAUUGAGGAUGUUUUGGUGAAAAUUAAUGAAUUGGUUUUCCCUGCUGAUUUUUACGUGCUUGAUAUGGACGAUGAACACUCUCACGACCCAUCACCUUUACUGUUAGGUAGACCCUUCUUGAGCACAGCUCGAACUAAAAUAGAUGUUAAUAAGGGCACCCUAUCUAUGGAGUUUGAUGGUGAGGUUGUUCAUUUCAAUAUUUUCGAUUCAAUGAAAUAUCCUUCAGAAUCACAUGCUGGCUCUGUGUUCUCAAUAAAUGCUAUUGAUUCUGCUGUACGUGAAGUCUUUGAAAUUGAAGGCAGGGAUGAGUUGGAAGUUGCCUUGACCAGGCACUUCGAGUCAGAGAUGACCACUGAGAUAGAGUUGAGCGAAGAGCUCAAAUGUGUGAUUGGAGCGUUGCAGACGUUGCCAACCACAAAGAUAAGGUAUGACCUCACACCCGUUUUUACACCUGAACCUCACCAAAGGCUACUUCCAUCUGUGGUGCAGGCGCCUGUCUUAGAGUUGAAACCGCUGCCAAAACACCUAAAGUAUGCGUACUUAGGCGAGGGGGAGACACUCCCAGUGAUUAUCUCCGCCAGUUUAUCAACAGUCCAAGAAGACAAAUUGAUUCGAGUUUUGAGGGACCAUAAGCAGGCGAUAGGAUGGACUAUCGCCGAUAUCAAGGGAAUUAGCCCCGCGGUAUGUACACAUCGGAUUCGACUCGAAGAGGGCGCUAGACCUAUUCGGCAGGCUCAAAGGAGAUUGAAUCCUCUCAUGAUGGAGGUAGUGAAGAAAGAGAUCCUAAAACUACUGGAUGUGGGGAUAAUUUUUGCUAUAUCAGAUAGUCCCUGGGUAAGUCCAGUACAGGUGGUCCCAAAGAAGGCAGGGGUGACGGUAGAAUCAAAUCAGGAGGGUGAGCUCGUGCCAAUCCGGAAGCCCACUGGGUGGCGGCAGUGCAUAGAUUAUAGGAAGUUGAACGCCGUCACGAAAAAGGAUCAUUUUCCCCUUCCUUUUAUUGAUCAAAUGGUAGAGCGAUUAGCAGGUCGAGCUUAUUAUUGUUUUUUGGAUGGAUUUUCAGGUUAUUUUCAGAUUGUUAUCGCACCUGAGGACCAAGAGAAGACUACCUUCACGUGCCCGUUUGGAACAUUCGCAUACCGGAGGAUGCCAUUUGGGCUAUGCAAUGCACCUGCCACCUUCCAACGCUGUAUGGUAAGUAUUUUCUCAGAAUAUGUUGAGAAAAUUAUUGAGGUUUUUAUGGAUGAUUUCAGUGUGUAUGGAGAGAGUUUUGAUAACUGCCUAGAUAACCUGAGGUUAAUUCUAAUAAGGUGCAUAGAAGCUAAUCUCGUGCUCAAUUGGGAAAAAUGCCAUUUUAUGGUCGAGCACGGGAUAGUUUUGGAUCAUGUGGUAUCGUCUAGGGGUAUUGAGGUUGAUAAGGCAAAAAUAGAUGUUAUAUCUACUUUACCUUACCCCGCGAGUGUGCGGGAGGUACGUUCUUUUUUGGGUCACGCAGGUUUCUACCGGAGAUUCAUAAAGGACUUCUCCAAGAUUGGAGCGCCCCUGUUCCAACUUUUGCAGAAAGAGGUACCCUUCGAGUUCGAUGAGUCAUGUAAGGGGGCGUUUGAUAGGUUAAAGGAGCUACUGACCUCCUCACCUAUUAUCCAACCCCCUGAUUGGAACCUACCAUUCGAGAUUAUGUGCGAUGCCAGCGACUAUGCCGUGGGCGCGGUCCUGGGUCAAAGAGUGGGGAAGGCAGCCCAUGCCAUAUACUACGCCUCUCGAGCCUUGAACGGAGCUCAGUUGAACUAUUCGACCACCGAAAAGGAGCUUUUAGCUGUAAUUUUUGCUUUAGAGAAAUUUCGGUCCUAUUUGCUUGGUGCUAAGGUUAUUGUUUUCUCUGAUCAUGCAGCCCUGCGGUAUCUGUUGACUAAGAAAGAGGCAAAGCCGCGACUGAUAAGGUGGAUACUACUGCUCCAAGAGUUCGACUUGGAGAUCAGGGAUAAGAAAGGGGCUGAAAAUCUGGUAGCAGAUCAUUUAAGUCGAGUGCAAGUCGUAGAAGAUAAUAUCCCAUUGAGAGAAAUUUUUCCCGAUGAGCAUUUAUUUUCUAUUAAUUUGUCUUUGCCUUGGUAUGCGGAUAUGGUUAAUUUUCUAGUUACUGACAAGUUUCCUGCAGGAUGGCCUAAGGCAAAAAGGGACAAAUUGAGGAGUGACGCAAGGUCUUACAUCUGGGAUGACCCGUACCUCUGGAAACGUGGUGCUGACCAAAUCAUUCGUAGAUGUGUAAGUGAAAAUGAAUUCCAAUCUAUUUUAGCUUAUUGUCACUCUUUUGCCUGUGGAGGUCACUUUGGACCAAAGAGGACUGCUCGUAAGGUUUUAGAGAGUGGAUUUUAUUGGCCGACCCUCUUUAAGGAUACCUACUUAUUUUGUAAGUCAUGUGAUAAGUGUCAACGAGUAGGUAAUAUUUCUCGAAGGGAUCAAAUGACCCAGACCCCAAUGAUUUUUGUUGAGAUUUUUGAUGUUUGGGGUAUUGACUUUAUGGGUCCUUUUCCUUCAUCUUUUGGCUUUUUAUAUAUAUUGCUUGCUGUAGACUAUGUCUCGAAAUGGGUGGAAGCGAAGGCCACCCGUACUAAUGAUUCCAAAGUAGUCGCAGAAUUCGUCAAGUCUAAUAUCUUUGUCCGAUUUGGGAUGCCGCGAGCAAUUGUAAGUGAUCGGGGUACCCAUUUCUGCAACAAGACAAUUACUGCACUUUUUAGGAGAUACGGGGUCUUGCACAAAAUCUCCACGUCUUACCAUCCGCAGACAAAUGGUCAGGCGGAAGCAUCGAACCGGGAGAUCAAGUCGAUUUUGGAAAAAAUGGUUCGACCUGAUAGGAAGGACUGGAGUGUGAGACUUGAAGAUGCCUUGUGGGCAUAUAGAACGGCGUACAAGACACCAAUCGGCAUGUCUCCUUACCGUUUGGUAUUUGGGAAGCCAUGCCACCUCCCUGUCGAGUUCGAGCAUAGAGCAUUUUGGGCGGUCAAGCAAUGCAACAUGGGUAUCGAAGAGGGCGGAAUUCAAAGGAAGCUACAGUUACAAGAAUUGGAGGAGAUUCGCAACGAAGCCUACGAGAAUGCUGUGAUUUAUAAGGAGAAAAACAAGAUUUUUCAUGACCAACAGAUCUCUAGGAAGACGUUCGAAUGUGGACAAAAAGUUCUACUGUAUCACUCCAAAUUGAAGUUAUUUCCAGGUAAGCUACGUUCUCGUUGGAUUGGUCCCUUUGUUGUAACUAAUGUCUUUGAUUAUGGUGCAGUGGAGAUCCAGAGUCUGAAGACGGAGAAGAAAUUUGUGGUGAAUGGUCAUCGCCUCAAGCCAUAUUAUGAUGAGGUUCCAGUUGAGCGGGUAGAGAUGAUGCAUUUGGAGGACCCAAUUUGCUUGGUUUAAGCAGAUUAUGGGCUAUGUCUAGCCAAAGACACUAAAGAAAUGCGCUAGUUUGGGAGGCAACCCGAAUAUUAGUUUUGUUAUUUCUAGUUGUUUUGGUAUUUCUAGUUGUUUUUCUUUUGCAUUGGGUCAUUUACUCGUUGGGUAGUAUCAAUACUAAUAUUUCCUUCACUGAAUCAGGAAGUGAAAUCUUGGCGUGCCCACGCGGUGUUGGUGCCCCCUGAGGUCAGUAGAUGAAUUGCAAUCUUGGCGUGCCCACGCGGCGUUGGUGUCUCCUGAGAUCAGAGGACGAAGACCAAUCUUGGCGUGCCCGCGCGGUGUUUGUGUUUUCUGAGACCAGAGGACGAAGACCAAUCUUGGCGUGCCCGCCGCGGUGUUUGACGACCCAAACCAUGUUUUUGCAGUAUAAAAAAAAUAAUAAUAAAAUUUAAAAAAAAAAGAGAUUUUUCAGCAAUUUCCAGCUGAAACGAUUACAUUAGCGUAAUAUGAAAAAAAAAAAGAAAAAAAAUUUCCCCUUUCCUCUUUUCUUUUUCUUCUUUUCUUUUCUUUCUUUCUUCUUUCUUUUCUUUUUCUUCUUCCCCGCUGCUUUUCCCUUUCUCUUGUUUCUUCAUCCAAAGCAGCCGCCGCCUCCAAGCUCCAUCGCGCGCCGACUGACCGAGCUCCGCGACCACCGCCACCAGCUUCCGCGCGCCGCCGCUGUCGCCAACUCCUCCUCCAAGCCACCAGACGCCGCCUCCACCAGACGACGCCUCCACCUGCGGGCCACAGUAGCACGCGCCGCCGACACCAUCUUCAGCAGCAAUCCGCAGCCCCAACCCAAGCGCCGCCGCCACUGCUCACCAGCACCUCGUGCGGCCAACAACCCCAACCCAAGCGCCGCCGCCACUGCUGUCCAGCACCUCGCGCGGCCAACAACUCCAACUUCGUGCGCCGCCGCCACCCAGCUUUCGCGCGCCGCAGCUCCACCAGCAGCUCGCGGCCAACAACCCCAGCUCUCCUCCAGCUUCGGCCAGGGUCCACGAGCCCGGCGACGCCUCAGAGCCCCAGCCGACGCCACCAGCCUUCCUCUCGUGCGCGUCACUAGCCUGUCCAAGAGAAGCUGCGCCGCCGCUGCCUUACGCACCUCCAUUGCUGGGCAUCACCACCUGCUUAAAUUAGCAGGUGGAGGUAUUGUGAUUUCUUCCCCGAUUAGCAUUAAUUAUUGGAUUUUAUUUGUGGGUUUCUUGCUGGGUAAACACAAGGGUUGACUUGGGCAUUUUCUAGGGUAAAUUUUGGGACUAAUUUGGGGGUAAUUGCUGCCAUCUGUGGGAGAUUUGUUGAUAAUUGUAGUUGAGUUGGACUGCAGUCAAUUGCUUCCGGAUUUAAUUUGUGCUCAUUUUUGGCGCUACCUGGGUGUUCAAAUCUGUUUUGCCCACUAGGUUGGUUAUUUGAUUUAAUUUCUCCCUCUAUACUCACCAGUGGUACAGGUGAGGGUAGUUGUUUAACAUCUGAUAAUCUGUGUUCUGGGCAUUUGUGAGUGGGUCCACCCUGUGAUUGAGUGGUUGGAUAAAGCAGGGGGUGGUUUAGUUAUCUUCGGGGGGAACUGUUUGGACAAAUCUGAGUUUAAUUGCUGCCAAGAGGGGGUAUUUUCUACUAUUUGUUGAACAGCUAGCCUUUUGUUUACUAUUUGUGUCCAACUUUGGGUGAAUUGCUGAGAUUGCUGGUUGAAUUUGGGGGCGCCCGUGACGCUUAUACUUGUUUAUUGGGGGCGCCCGUGACGCUUAUAAUUGCUACUUGGUUGUUUUGGUUUGCCUGUUGGUCACCAUGGUGAAGCCUCGAUCUUCUUCCAAGUCUAGGACCCCUAGGACUCCUCAGCCCCCUCCGCCCCAGCAUUCCAUUCCCGCCUCUGACCCCUCACACGAUCCUUCCUCCUCUGGGAGGCGGGCUCGUCUUGGGCGACAAAGAGGCGUCCAUAUCGCUGACCCUGCACAUUUUGGGGGUCAUUUGGCCUUCACCCGCGCAGCCGACAAGCGGCGCUAUGAAGCGGCUUGUGAACGACGGAUCAUUCCUUGUCGUUAUCGGGACCCCGCCACCUUGGGCCUUCUAAAUAUUAGCGUUCCCUUUCACGAUUUGAUUGAAGCGAUCGGGUGGCGCCCCUAUUCUCGUAUCACUGACCUUCCGGCUUUUGUCGAGUUGGUUAGGGAGUUUUAUGCCACGUUUGAGUUUGACAUUCCCACUAAUUACACAGUUUCUACCCCUGAUGUCAUCCGCUUCCGUUUAAUGGGCCAGGAAUUCCACCAUUCCAUAACCGACUUCAAUCUGGCCUUCGGUUUCAUUGACCCUGCUUAUGCUGAGUCUAGGGAGUAUGCCGAGAGUGCAUGUGACUAUGUCCAGCCGUUUUUCUCCCGCUAUCGCUUUCUUUGGGAUGAUAUGUCUGUAGACAGGGAUAACUAUGACCCUCGUCUAUCAAAGGGGUCCUAUCUGAAAGACCCGGCCUCUCGCUAUAUCCACCGUUUUUUGGCUUACAGUUUCUCUGGUAGGCGAGAUAGUUCGGGCAUUCUGUCAAAGCCCGAAUUUUUCUUUAUAUGGUGCAUGCAAAACAACAAAAAGGUUAAUCUUGGGUGUUGGCUCGCGUCUCAAUUCAAGUCCAUUUUGCCUAAAAAGAAACGCCCCUUGAUUCUUGGUUCUUACAUUACUCACUUGGCAAUUAAUUUGCAUGUACUUGAUAUUUCUAACCAUAACUUGCAUAUAGCCUGCCAAAUGGAGCCUUUGGAUAUCCCGUGCCUAGAGAAAAUGGGCUUAGUUCGGGAGGGCGACAAUGGUUGGGAGGUUGUCCCCCCGGGGCCUCUACGCCCUCCCCCUCGGUCAUCUUCUGCCCGAGCUUCCACUGAGGGCGGCGAUCCUGGACCGUCUUCCUCCGUUCCCCCCCAUUCCGGCCAUACGGAUGAGGAAUGGAACCAGCUACGCAACACAGUCGAGCGGCUUGAGAUUCGGCAGAAACACAUGGACGUUAACAUUCACAAUAUGGCGCAGAAUCUAGCGGCAUUUAUGCAGCAGGCCGGGUUCCCUCCGCAGCUUCCGCCCAACCCCCCCUUGUCUUGACGACGUCAGGGAAGUACCGUUGCCCCUUCCGUUUUCUCUGAUAUUAUAUUAUCACAUUGGGGGCAAUGUGCCAUUUAGGUGUGGGGGGGGUCUUUGUUUGAGUGCUCGAUAUUUCCCAUUUCCGUUUCUGGGGUGUUUUCCUAUGUCUUUAGUUCAGUGUUUUCUGUUUUGUGUUUUCCGUUUUAGGCGUUGUUCCUUUAUCCCUUUUGGGUGUUUGUCCCUUACUUUUGUCUUGGUGAAUAUGUUUGGCAGCUCACUUUUCCAUUGCUAGUGGUAGUUUAUACUAUGAAUUGGGUUUUAGUGGCGAGUAAAAGCACGCUGUCUUGGUGAAUGCUUUGAGUUUAACGACUGGGUGCAAUUUAUGGCUAACUUGUCUAGGCAAUGCAAAUACUUUGCUGGCAGUGUUGUCUGGAUUGGUCUCCUGUCGACCUUAGUUCUCCAUAUUUAGGAAAUGACGCAGGCUAUGAUCUUUAAAUACCUGGUAUUUUGGUGUUAUUGGUGAAUAACGUAUGGCUUUACUCCGCUAGUGUCGCCACCCAGUAACCGGGGGUCUUCACCACACGUGUCGGUUCUCGCGUCAAACAGUGGCGAUAUCUAUGAGUAAGUGGUCCUGGAGCUGUGAAAAGUUGAGUAACUGGGCUCUUUCAUCUAAAAAUGUCAGAGUUCACGUCAAAAGACUUGAAUAGCUCGGGACUAAGCAUUAUUCGCGCAAUUUAUUAAUAAAAAAAAAAGAAAAAAAAAAGAAAAAACAAAAAGGGAAAAAUCAGAUGUGGAAAAUGUGAGUUUAUGAUCAUGUUGGCCUGCCGAUCCUUGGUUCGCACUGUUGAGAUUUUGGUUGUCAGUUGACUGAAUUGCUGACUGUUGCUAGUUAAUAUUUGAAUUUCUUAGGUGAGUUAACCAUGAAUUGGACAGGUCUAGGAACUUGGGAGCUAACCGGGAGGGAUAUGUCUUGACACUUAGCCACUAGAUCUUGAUUCCGGUAUACACACAGCUGGCAAUGAUAUUGUUGAAGCUGGCCAUUGUUGGGUUGAAUUGUCCUCAUGCUUGAGGGCAAGCAUGAUUCAGGUGUGGGGGGAAUUGAUAGGGUGUAAUUUGUUAGUAAUUGUUAUUAGUAAUUUCCCCUUUUAUCCCUGAUAAAUAGUGUGCUAAUUUCUGAUAUUUACUCAUAUUUGGUAUCUGGACUUCAUUUCAGGAAUGAAGCAGAAAACCACUAAAAAGGAAGGACUUUAUGGAAAAUAGGGAGACUUCUAAGGGCUUCAAUUCUUGGGCCUUUGAAUUGGUGGGGGACCACAAGCUAAAAAGGCAUCUACUCCUUUGGGCUCUUAAAAGAAAGCUACGGAAAGAGACUUGGGGGCAAGAAAUACUUUGAAGGUUUUGUCCACAUGUGUGGGGACCACCUAGAGAGCCUUGAGUCAUCUUUCUUUUAUUGCUUAAAUAGAGAGAACGUAGGGUAGGAGGGACAUCUCUAGUUUUAGUCUUUUAGUGUAGCUUUACUUUUUCCUUCUUUUGACUGGCCUCUGACACACGCCAGGUGUUCGACAAAAUCCCCCAACGGGAAAAACACUUUUUAUUCCUUGCUUCUUAAUAGAAAACGCUAUGCCUUUGCGAUCCAUUAAUUCGUGUGGUGAUUUAAUUAUGCGGCGUGGCUAAAUCUUCCAUCUAGUCAAGGGUCAACUCGACGGCGCAUUCCCGAAAAUCUGUGAGAUCUAAUUAGUUUUCACGUGUUCCUUUAUUUAUUAAUAUUUGCACGUUAUCUGCUUGAAUUUUCAUGGGAUUAUUUUAUUAAUUGGAUGUCAAGGGCCCGAUGUUCAAUGUGAUUUAUUAAUCUCGUGCCAAUUUAAUCAAUUAAAUCCGUAAUUGUUUGAUUGAUUACUGUUAGUGGCAACUGGUGUGUUUACACAUUAGGGGAACGUGCAAUCUAAUUUAAAUAACCCUCGUAGCGUGUUAUUGGUUAGAGCUAGGUUUUUCUAGUUAUUAAUGCAAUUAGGAAAUUAAUUCCUACGGUCGUACCUAGGAGUAACUUUUCUGGUUAGAGGUGAUUAAUGGUCGUACCUUGGUCAUCUAUAAUUUAAGGAAAAAUUGGUCGUCAGACUAUAACUAGCCUAUUAAUACAUUAAGUGAACCUCUCUUGCAUCAAUGAUCGGAUGAUUGGACUGUGCCUGAAUAGUUGUACCCUUGGCUAGAACUUAUUUAUUCUUGAUUUAAUUCCUGUUUUACUUGUGCUAGUGAUUUACUUAUUUUUAAUUAAAUUGUUUAAUUAUUUUUAGUUUCAUUCCGGUGAAAUCCCCCCCUUAUCAAUUGGACUUUAAAAAGAGACAGAUAUCCCCAGUCCCUGAGGAGACGACCCUACUUGCCACUGUCUACUAUUUAGUAAUUCUUGUCAAUUAAUUAAUUCUGGUAUAUCGGGUUAAGCAAACUCUUCGGGAACAGGGUGAAUCAAGUAACCCAUUGCACACCUAGAGUCCCUGCUCCAGUACUUAGGAUUGAUUAUUGACUGCUUUUAGUGGUAUCUAGGUUCUAUAUUUAUUCUUAUUAUUGCACAGGCCGACGACCUGUCAUGAAUCCUACUAGUGAAUCCACAGGACACCCUCCUCUUUUGCCUGAUGAUGAUGUUUCAUUCAGUGACAAUUUCUUUGUUAAAGAUGAACUUUUGCAGGGUAAUGGGCUUUCUUGGGCCUUACAUCUUGAUAUGCAAGUAAUAGAAGAGAAAGAAAAGCCUUGCAAGGAUAAAACCGAUGAUUUACAUGCUGAAGGAGGUGCAACUGCAAGUGAGCAAGUCAAAUCUCCAGAGAAGUUAGCUUCUGAAAUUGAAGCUGAAUUGUUUAAGUUGUUUGGUGGUGUAAACAAGAAGUACAAAGAAAAGGGAAGGUCUCUUCUUUUUAAUUUGAAAGAUCGUAAUAAUCCAGAUCUCAGAGAAAGAGUCAUGUCUGGCGAAAUUACCCCUGAUAGACUCUGUUCAAUGACUGCUGAAGAGCUUGCUUCAAAGGAGCUCUCAGAGUGGCGGAUGGCAAAAGCAGAGGAGCUUGCUCAAAUGGUAGUUUUGCCUGAGACAGAUCUUAGAAGACGAUUGGUUAAGACUCAUAAGGGUGAGCAUCAAGUGGAAAUGGAGGAUGAUGGUAUUUCGGUAGAUGUCUCUGGCGGAUCUUCUUCACCUUCACGGGCUCCAUCUAAAAGCACGGAAACUCGUUCUCCUGAAUUAGAUGAUACGAAUGACAAAGAAAACACUGCAAGUCAGAAGAAUGCUUCAGAAAACCUGGAUCCCUCAGGUAGCUUUAUUAUUCCAAGUGACGGAAGUGUACGGAUUGUAAUAUUUCUUACCGUAUAAUGUGUACGGAUCAAUGAAUUCAUCCCUUUGCCUUUUCACCCAUUUCGCUGCCAUCGAUGACCGAUUCUUCACUGCUAAUCUUCGUCUUUUGCCAGUUCUUUGAGUCUUGUCACUGAUUACUGUGAGAAGAAUGGAUCAAUUUUGAUACUUUUCACUGUCAUUGUCCACAUUCCAAAAAAUUUUACCAACAUUCCAAAGCCCCACAGUUAAACCUUUCACUUACCAGAUGAAACUCUUCCCACUAAGGCUGUGCAGACGAAUUUGCCCCUCAAAAAGUUGAUUUCCGUCUCUCUUGACGGCACAAAUACACGGAGUGACCAAAACGGUACAGAUUUACUAGUUCAGUGACAUUUCGCGCUAAUAAAAAAGUUUAGUGACCAGAACCGGCACUUUGAAAUAAUUUAGUGACAUUUCGCACAAUUCGCUCUAUUUAAAAUUACUGCAAGAAAAAAGGAGUCUUGUCGGCAAUAUUUGAUUAUUCAAGAGGAAUUUGUAGAUCUUGAACUAAAUUCAUUCAGCAUCAUUUGCUGCACUAGACAGAGAUCUGUUAUCAGAGUGAAAAAGAAGACACCAUAAUGAAGAUGGCCUCCAGGAGAAGCGGCAAUAGUGUCUUUGAUUCUGUUUUAGAGCGUCUGCACUGGAUUGUGAAGAUGGGAUCUAUGGUGAAUUCGGGAUCCGGGUUGUUUGUCAACACUUGGCCCUGGAGAAGGUGGUAAGCGUAUUGAUACCCUUUGAUCUGUAUGUUACAAAUUGCAGGAGGAAGCAGGAAAUGUGUUAGGAACACGAUCUGGAGGAGAAGGGUAAUACUGAGUCCGACAGUUUGAGACUUAGUAUUAUUUUGUCGAAGAUUCAAGGUCUGGCUAGGACGAUAAUGCCUGGUCUUAAGUCUGCUGUUUCAACAUAUUUUCAGUCCGGUGCACCAAAUCUCAGUGACAUCACAGCUGAGCUCACCAGAACUGAGGAAAAUAACAGGUUAUUUUUUGAGACAGAAAUCCGACCAUCGUGCAUCAUCAGUUUGUUGCACCACUACUCACUAGGAGAUCCACGACUAGUUACAAAUUUGAUUGACUCUGUUUUAGAGAGUCUAGAUUGGCUUACCUGCUUGUUUCACACAUAUGACAAUGCUCUGCGUUUUGUAAUGAUGACCCUUGAAGCGAAGCUAUCGUUUUUGAAGAGUUUCAUUUGCUUUGCCACAGCGCAAGGCGUUGUGGGUAACCAAUUGAUCGAUCUGUUGAUCCACGCUGAAGUUGUGUCAGUCAAAUCUGCACGCCUGAUUUCUAUAUGUUGGUUUGACAAAAAAAGUGCACAAGUUCUCAAGGAAAUGGAAUUUCAAAUUUCCCAACUAAUACGCCAGGAGAUUGUGUCGGGUUUUAGGGAUACUACGCAGUGGAAAAAUAAAAAUUUUUCCCUAAAACCAUCCAGGAAUCACCCUAGAUUUUACGUAUAAUGUACUAAAAGAGGGUUUUAGGAUUACCUUAAUCCAAGCGGCGUCUCCCUGCAGCGUUGUUUGAGGAUGGUCAGCCCUUGAGCAGUCCAGUCGUCCUGCCUCUACUGAUAUCCACGCUAGAGCAACCCUGGAUCGUCUCACGAACUAUGUAUUGAAGAAAAAAAGGUGCUAGCCUUCUUACUCUUUUCAAACGUAUAUUUUUUCUCUCUCUCGUAUGUGACGCUCACAAACUCAAUUUUUCUCCCGUUUUUCUUUUUUCCUCAUUUCCUGUAUCUGUACCUCAGCCCCAAAUAUCAAUUGGAGGGAGAGAGAGAUAUAUGAUAAGAUAGAAUGAUGAGUCUUCUUGUCUGAUUCAAAAUCAAAACAAUAAGACUUCUCAUCACACAAGACUCUAUCUAUCAUUAUCUGAUAGAUGAGAGAUAACCAUUUACUCUUAUCUGCUCAAAUAGGCCUGGGAUUAAUUUUCUUUUAAAAUUAAACCCCGAUAAUUUACAUAGUUUCAAUCCAGGAUUAAAUCUCUAUCGGUGUGACCCAAUAGGUCUCGAAUGCAUUGGUAAUAAUUAUGGUUUAAUAAUUAGAUAAAAUAAACUACUUUAUUUUAUCAUAACUUAUAAUAAAUAAUUAAUCCAUAAUUAUAAAUCACGAGCGGUGUCUAGCAACACAUCGCGAUUGCCCAAUUAUUCGGAAUUAGUCAAGGGAAUUUGACCUAACCUUUCCGUGAAAAAUUACCGUAUAAUUAUUAUCCUUUCACCAAAGAUAUCCAAUUAGUCAGGAAUAAGGAAUAAGUGCCAAUUCCCUGAUGACUAAUUAAAUUUUCUAGUUCCCGAAAUUUCCCCUUAAUUAGGUUAAAUUGAAGACAUUCUUCAAUUUACCUAAUAGUCGACUUUAGGGUUAAUUUCUCACUAGUGGCCAUCCGGAUAUCAACUCCUUCUAUCAGAGUGGUAAAUCCUAUCUUGAUCACCCAUUUUCUUUACGUGCUUCACACUACAUCCAACUUCUACACUUUAAGGUACUCUCAAAGAGUAACAUGUAAUUAGAGUCAAAAUGUAGUGAUUCCCACUGAAAAUUCUAUGGUGAUCUCAAGUCGUAGGAUUACUUACACAAUUUUUCACUAGAGAUACACCAUUGGCACUAGAUAGAUAUCCUAACGGGAUCUCUAAACGGAUCACUCCAAUGCAUUUGUACUUUUCAAAUCAUCUACACAUUAGUCUAAGUAUCUUCAUACCAUAGUUGAUGAGAACAACCACUAAUUACAUUAAUUAGAGGCUAACUGUGUACUAGUUUUACCGUACUAAAGAUGUCCUAUUUCAUUAGUACAAAAACUAGGAAAUUUUAAUAAUAUUACUAUAAAUGCGAUAGAUAUUUCAUAGUCACCAACUCUUGUGACUAUCAUCACAUUAGUAAAUAUUCUAAGAACUUUAUCGGUUGUAUCUAAUAUUUAACAGAUAAAUAAAAAGUUAUUAAAAUACAAAACAUAUAAUAAGGAAUGUAUAAAAUAAAAACAAAUAUAUUAUUUUAGGGCAUACAUUCCAACAAUCUCCCACUUGCACUAAAACACAUUGUCUAUGUUUUUCAUCCCAUAAGAUAAUACAUGACUAUCAUACUUCUUUUGAGAAAGAACUUUAGUAAGAGGAUCAGUUAUGUUAUCCUCUGUGGAGACUCUCUCUAUCUUUACAUCAUUCCUAGCAACGAUUUCUCUAAUCAAGUGAAAUCUUCUAAGCACAUGUUUGGAUCGCUGAUGAGACCUAGGUUCCUUGGCUUGAGCUAUAGCCCCAUUGUUAUCACAGUAUAAAGUGACCGGAUCAACAAUGGUUGGAACCACACCAAGUUCAGUUACGAACUUCUUGAUCCAAACUGCUUCCUUAACUGCUUCCUUAACUGCUUCCGCGGCCGCAAUAUACUCAGCCUCUGUUGUAGAAUCUGCUGUGGUGUCUUGUUUGGAACUCUUUCAACAGACGACACCUCCAUUAAGAGUAAAAAUGAAACAUGACUGCGAUUUACAAUCAUCCUUAUCUGAUUGAAAACUUGCAUCAGUAUAGCCUUUGAGUUUUAACUCACCCUUUCCAUAAAUUAAGAACAAAUCUUUGGUCCUUCUUAAGUACUUAAUAAUGUUCUUAACGGCUAUCCAAUGACCCUCACCUGGAUUAGCCUGAAAUCUGCUUGUGACACUCAGAGCAUAGGAGACAUCAGGUCUUGUACAUAACAUAGCAUACAUAAUUGAUCCAAUUGUCGAAACAUAUGGAACAUUGUGCAUCUUAUCAGUCUCAACUUGUGUCUUUGGACACAUGUUUUUAGAAAGGCUUAUACCAUGAAUCAUAGGUAAAUUACCCCUCUUAGACUGAUCCAUGAUAAACCUCUUUAGCACUUUAUCAAUAUAUGUAGAUUGUGAAAGACCUAGUAGCCUAUUAGAUCUAUCCCUAUAGAUCUUAAUUGUAACGACCCCACCUCCCCCUAAGGCGAACCAAAGGGUUUAGCGGACCGCCUGCCCAGCUCUCGCCGGGACUCACUCACUUACUACAUUUCUCAAGUAAAUUACAAGGUACAACUCAAAUAAUACAUCCAAUUCUCCAAAAUUACAUAUCAUAAGCGAAGCGGAAACUAGUUCUAAGCGUAAAAUGUAGAUUUACAUCCGAUUCAAUUCCAAAUAUUUAUACAAGCCCAAAAGUACAUAAACCAAAACCAAAACUAAACUAUACAAGAUGUACGCCAUCCAGCCAUACAAAGAUCCAAAAACAAAUUCUUCCUUUACUUCGAUCCCUGUGGGGAGAAGAAGAUAAUAGGGGGUGAGCUAGAAGCUCAGCAAGUGACCAGUAAAAUCAACAGCCAAGUAUAUUUUACAAUAAAGCAUUGAUAUGAUGUCAUGAUGCAGUAAUCAAAUGUUCAUUUAUUGCUCAUGUGAGCCAGUGAAGUUCUUGUACUUAAAUAUUCAAUGCUCGUUUAGAUCAGGUAACCAUGAAACAGAAGUAAGGAGCCAUCGGGCUCCAAAGAAUGUGUAAACAAUAGUGGAGACAUUGGUUCUAAGCACAAGACUUUUCAGGAACUCAUUGGAGCCAAAUUAUGUCAUGGCACACACCCGAACCCCAAAUGAUAUGCAAAGGAGUAAUAAAUGCAAGAAUUAGUUCAAAAGUAACUUUGGGAACAGUCGAGGGAUCACUCACUCAAACUAUAGUGCUUCAAGUAGUCACGUUCAAUUAUACUCCAGGUUUGGAGUCCAGAUCUGCGAUAGAAAUCCAAUUUGAGAACUUUGAAACACGAGUAAGAUUUGAAACUUAAACGUUCCGUUCAUAAGAAUCAACCAAUUGAAAGGCAUUCGUGAAACACUUGCUCGCUUUUCAAAUCAUAAGGUUUUUUUAGCAUAUAUACUUGGAAACAAUACUUGAGUUGAAAGUACAAGGAAAUACAAGUUUACAUUGGCCAUUAUAUCUUUUCCUCAAGAGUACAAGUUCGUUUAGGUUUUUAACGUAUAACCAUCGAUAACAAAGUAGCAAAAGUUCUCGUUAGUUCAAGUGGUAAUCACUUAACCUUCACUCAAGUUGCAAAUAUAGUUUUCUAGUCCUCGAGUAAAAAUUCGGACAGCAUGCCCUUUGUGUUUACCUAAUUUUUCAGCCAUUUAGGCUUCAUUAUUUUCCUCAGCCACAACCCAACAUCACAUAUAUCAUCAAUUCAUGUCAAGAGCCGUUCCAUAGGCUCACAAUAUCAUAAGAACAAGAAUUACAACAAUAACAAGUGCAGAAAUUCAAUUUAGUAAAAGACAGAUUCGGCGUAUGAAUGCGGAAAUAACAUAUCCGAGGCUACGCUUAUCGGAUUGAGGCGAAACCUAUGCUGUUUCGAAGCUAAGACACAGGGUAACAAUGUUCAUGAAGGUCACUUAGUCCAGUUCCUAAUAUAACUUAGUCAAAUCCUCAAAUUACAGAACCAAAAUCCAAUUUGUCGGCUACUUAACCACAUUACACUGUAAUGGACAUAUCUCAGGCUACAAAAGUCCAAUUCAGGUGUUCUUAGAGGCAUUUGAAAGCUAAGUCAGAAUACUACAACUUUCAUGUUUUGGCCAAGAGCUAAAUCAGUACGGAUCCUAGUCAAAAAAUGUGAUAAACUGGACAAACUGAUCACACGGACUGCUGGGGAAAAACUUAAAACAGUAAGGGUAUUUUGGACUUUUCACGACAUUCGUUGCUCCGAUUGAGCUGAAAUUUUGUAGGCACCUAUAAAAUACCAUUCUAUACAACUUUCUUCUUUGACCUAAGGCCAAUUCGGCCUCUAACAUACAGUUACAAAUUCGGACAGAAUGUUGGGGAAAAUUUCCAGAUUCUGGAAUUUCUAGUUUUUAGUGGAACUUUCUUUAAUUUCUUGGUCUAAUCAUUACCAAAGCCUCUCUUAUAACCUUAAUUUCAACAUAUAUACAUCAUACCUCAAUUUGGGCAGAAAUUCCUCAAGCCCUAGUUCAUCAUAUAAAAAGGAGAAAAACUUCCAAAACAUGAUAAUAUCCAUGAUUCCACUACAAAAUCAAGUUGCUAAGCUUAAUUUAACAAAAUUGAAAGUAAAAUUUAGAGAGAUAAGCUUUCUUACCUUGACUAGAGUUCACUAAGUGUAGCCCAAGCUUUCUCCUUCCAAAGUCUCACCACAAAUCACUAACUAAUCACUCAAAGACAAGUUUAAUCGGUUUGUUUUGUUUGAUUUCUCACCUAGUUGUUGGAUUGAAGAAGAAAUGGAGUGUUUUCCCUUGGUGUUUUUCUUCUCCUUCCUCUCGGCCAGCAGCAGCAGAAAUAAGGGGUAUAAGAUGUGAAAAUUGGGUUUAAAUGGAAGGACCAAGUCUUGGUCAAGAAGCCUUAAGGUGGCGACAAGUGUCGCCACCACCACCUUUCUUUUUUUCUCUUUUUUUCUUGUUAUUUUCUAGCCUCAAAUUCGGUCAAGCUUGCUGCCAAGAGAGAAGAUAUUUUACUCAAGUUCAAUAAAUUUGUCUGGUAAGAAAAAUGGUGGUCAAACGGUGCGUUCAAUCGAUAGUGCUCGGGACCCGCCGGUUCGCGCCGUUUUUCUUAAAAACUCACGUACUAGGGUUUUUACUUCCCAUUCACUAACCUUAUAUCAUUGCUACUACUCACAUAUUAUUUUUCACUUAAGAGUCACUUUUAAUCACCAAAUUUGAUCCUUGCUCCGUACCGAAAAUUCAUCCGGCGGAAAAAUCGCGAAAACCCUAAUUUGCUCAAAUCUUGAAACCGAAGUGUGAAACCCUAUUUUUUAGGUUCAUUGACACUUAUGGUGGGGUGAUUGAGUAGUAGGGCCACUAUAAAGUGGUAUUUGUCAAAGAAAAGGGAAUUUUAAGAAAAAUAUAAGGAAUUUGCACGGCUUCUGGCCGGAUUCCCCACAAAACACUAUUCACCAGCAAUUUUUUCCCUUUUCUUCUGCCUCGGGGCGUUACAUUAAUGCCUAAUAUAUAGGCCACUUCUCCUAAAUCUUUCAUGGAAAAGUUCUUCGACAACCAACCCUUUACCGAUUGUAACAUUGGUAUAUUGUUUCCCAUUAUUAAUAUGUCAUCUACAUAUAAAAUAAAGAAAACAAUCGAACUCCCACUAACUUUCUUAUACACACAAGAUUCAUCCGGAUUCUUGAGAAAUCCAAACUCUUUGAUCGUCUCAUCGAAUCGGAUGUUCCAACUCCUAGAUGCUUGCUUAAAUCCAUAAAUAGACUUUUGUAGCUUACAUAUUUGACUAGGAUUUGUAGAUGUAAAGCCUUCAGAUUGUGUCAUAUACACAUCCUCAUGUAAUGUCCCGUUAAGGAACGCGGUCUUUACAUCCAUCUACCAAAUCUCAUAGUCAUGAUAUGCUGCUAUGGCAAGCAAUAUCCGAAUGGAUUUAAGCAUAGCUACUGGUGAGAAAGUUUCAUCGUAAUCGAUACCCUCUUUCUGCUUGUAGCCUUUGGCUACCAAUCUAGCUUUAUAGGUAACCACAUUACCAUCCAUGUCAGUCUUCUUCUUGAAGAUCCAUUUACACCCUACAGAUUUUAUCCCUUCAGGUGGAUCAACUAAAGUCCACACCUUAUUGUCAUACAUGAAAUUUAUUUCGGAAUUCAUUGCUUCUAACCAUUUAGAGGAGUCUGGAUUACUUAUUGCCUCUUGGUAGGUAGUAGGUUCGUCAUCUUGAAUGACUAGAACAUCAUUGCUAUGGCUCACAAGAAAUUGGUAUCUCUUGGGAGUUGAGCGUGUUCUUACUAACCUACGAAGCCCUUGUGUAUCAACAGCUUCAGUAUCUGCUCCAUCAUUAUGUGGUUGAAGCUAUUCUUCAGUAGAUCGUUCAAUGUUUGUUGGAUGAUCCUGAAUUUCUUCAAGAUCUAUUCUACUCCCACUGUUUCUUUCUAGAAUAUAUUUUUUCUCUAGAAAAAUAGCAUGUUUUGAGACAAACACCUUUUGCUCUAUUGGAUUGUAGAAAUAGUAUUCUAUAGACUCUCUUGGAUACCCUACAAACAAACAUUUGUCAGAUCUAGCUUCAAGUUUGUCUGACUCUGCCCUCUUCACAUAAGUUGGGCAGCCCCAAACCUUCAUAUAAGACAGAUUUGGUUUCUUUCCUUUCCAUAUCUCACAUGGUAUGGAGUCGACAACUUUAGUGGAUACUCUAUUAAGAGUAUAAGAGGCUGCAUCUAAUGCAAAUCCCCAAAACGAUUUUGGGGCACUUGAGUGGCUCAUCAUAGAACGAACCAUAUUCAAUAAGGUUCGGUUUCUCCUUUCAGAUACACCAUUUAACUGUGGUGUACCUGGAGGAGUCCAUUGUGGAACUAUUCCAUUAUCCUUUAAAUAAACUCCAAACUCGUCAUUUAAGUAUUCUCCACCAUGAUCAGAUCGUAGUGUCUUAAUAUUUUAUUGGUUUGUUUUUCUACUUCAUUCUUGAAUUCCUUAAACUUUUCAAAUGAUUUAGAUUUGUAUUUCAUUAAAUACACGUAACCAUAUCUCGAAUGGUCAUCUGUGAAGGUGAUGAAGUAUGAAAAAUCACCUCUAGCAGUGAUCGACAUUGGGUCGCAUACAUCAGUAUGUACUAGCCCAAGUAAAUCACUAGCUCGUUCCCCUUUUCCAGUGAAGGGCAUUUUGGUCAUUUUACCAAGUAAACAAGUUUCGCAUGUAUCAUAUGAUUCAUAAUCAAAUGAAUCCAAGUAUCCAUGUUGGUAUAACUUGGAGAUGCGUUUUUCAUUUACAUGACUAAGCCUACAGUGCCAGAGGUAGGUUUUAUUUAGUUUAUCUGUUCUCAUUCUUUUUUCACUCACAUUGAGAAUUUGAUGAUCAAGAUCUAGAACAUAUAAACCGUUAUUCCAACUUCCAGAACUAUAAAACACACCAUUUUUAGAAAAAGAACAACAUUUAUUCUCCUGGGUUAUCCGAAACCCAUUUAAAUCCAAACAGGAAAUAGAAAUGAUAUUUGUAGUAAGUGCUGGAACACAAUAACAAUUUAAUAAUUCUAAAAUCAAUCCACUGGCAAUGUUUUAAAACCCGGACCGUCAAUUGAACCGGUGUGGUGAAAGGGUCGAAGUUCAACCGGUCGGACCGGUUCAACCUCGGUUCAAUGAUUUUUUUAAAAAAUAAAUUAUAUAAAUAUAUAUAUGCACAAAAUAAGACAUGCAAUAGACUAAUUUAAAACUUUAUAUGAUGAAAAGUUCACUAUUUUUGAAUAAUUUGGAUUUUCAAAAAUAAAUUUUUUAAAUUAUAAGUUAAAACAAAUAAAUUUCAUCUCAAUUUUAAUUAUAUCUACCAAAAAAAUCUCAAAUCCAACCCAAAAAUAUCACAAUAUUUUGAAAUUAUACAAAAUUCACGUCUAUGAAAAUUUGACAUUGUGAACUUAAAUUUUAAUUUACAUAUUUGAGAUUUAAAUAUUGUAAUUUAAAAAAGAAAGUUUGGAAUUCGAAAGAAGUCAAGAUAAUUGAAAAUAAAAAUGCAAACUUGAUAAGAAACAAAAAAUGAGAUAAAAGUGAGUGGUUGUGGCAUUAAAUAAUUUGGGUUAAAGAAAAAUAAUUCUUUUUUAACUUUUUUCAAUUUAAUGGACAAAAACAAAAUUAAAAGAUAGAAGAAAAUAUCAAUAAAUUAAAACUAAAGAGGUUUGAUUAAAAAAGGGAGUGACAAAAGAAAAGAUGAGAGAGAAAGAGAGAGUUGAAAAUUAAAAAGAAAGAGUCACAAGAGAAUGAGAUUUUGUAAAAAAAAUGGAAAAAUGAAAUAUAGAUGUUUGUUUUAUAUAAAUAAAUUAUCAAAAAAAACAAAUAAGAUGUGAUGGUGCAAUGGUUAUUACAUUGGUCUUCUAUUGCAAAGGUCUUGAGUUCGAAUAUUGAUAGAAGCAUUUUGCAAAAAAAAAAAAAAGGAAAACUUGAAAACCGGUUCAAUCCGGUUCAACGGGUUUCACGGUUUUUACCGGGUUUGACCGAUUUUCUGGCAAAGUCAACCUAAGCAUGGAACCGGACCGGUGCCAUGGCCGGUUCGCGGUUCGACCGUCGAACCGGCCGGUCCGGUCCGGUUUUCAAAACACUGUCCACUGGGUAAAGUGAUAUAAUAAGUCCCUACAGCUAAAGCAGCAACUUUUGCUCCAUUGCCCACACGUAGGGUGACUUCUCAUUUUUCCAACUUUCUACUAUCCCUUAGACCCUGCAUAGAUGUGCAAAUGUGAAAAUCACAUCCGGUAUCUAAUACCCAAGAAUCUGAUUUGGAAGUAGACACAUUAAUCUCAAUCAUAUAUGUACCUGAUGAUGAAGCUUCAGCAAGCUUCUUUUGCUUCAGGCUCUCCAAGUAUGGCUUGCAGUUCCUUUUCCAAUGUCCAGUUUGAUUACAAUGGAAGCAGGUUGCUUUGGACUGGUCCGCCUUUGCCUUUUUGGGCUUUUGGGUGGGCUUGUUUUGGGAUUUCUUAAAUCUCUUUUCUUGCCUCUUCCUCUUCUUAGAGGAAGUAACGACAAGCACACCAGUAGAGCCUUUUUUCCUUUUUGAUUUCUUUCUCAGUAGCUUUCAGCACAUUCAACAAUUGAGGCAAAGUGUGCUGCAGAUUAUUCAUCUGAUAGUUCAUAACAAACUGUGAGAAAGAAUCUGGCAGAGAUUGGAGCACUAAAUCAACAUUCAGCUCCUGAUCCAUCUUAAAGCCUAAUUCGGCCAGUUUUUCAAUUAGCCCAAUUAUUUUUAAGACAUGCGGAGCAACAGGUGCUCCCUCUGCCAUCUUGCACCUGAACAAUUCUUUAGAGGUAUCAUAUAUAACCGUCCUUGAUUGUUGUUCAAACAACUCUCUCAGGUGUUGUACAAUAUCAUACGCCCCCAUGUUCAUGUGCUGCUGCUGAAGCUGAGGAGUCAUGAAAGCUACCAUGAUACAUGAAGCUUCCCUAUUGUCAUCCUUAUGUUUCUUAUAAGCAUUUCUAACAGCAGCAGGUGCAGUAGGUUCAGGCUCUUGAGGCAUUGGACCAUCAAGUACAUACUCAAUUUUCUCAUGAGUGAGAACGAUAAGGACAUUACGAUGCCAAUCAAGAAAGUUCGUGUCGUUGAGUUUGUAAUCCGUAAGAAUAGUACGAAGGCUCAAAUUGUUACUCGUUCUACAACAAAAUGAAAGAUAGAAUUUGUUAGAAAAAUAUUUUGUUUAAUAAAAUCAUAAAAACUUCGAAAUUAUGAUUUUAUUUCCACUAUUUUUUUUCAAAUCAAUUACCCUCUAAAAUUGAAUCGGGAAUUUCUAAAAUUCCAUAGUGGCUAGGAUCCUAUCUUAAUUUAUUUCGACCUUGAGUGUGUCCCAACAAAUCGAAAAUAAUUAUGAAAGGUAGGUACUUUUACCAAUUGCAACUUAUUGUAAUUCCUAAAUCAGUUGGGUGUCAACUCUUGACUUUAAAUCUCUAUGAAUCAACCCAACACUUGCCUCUAAAAUUGAUGAUUUUGAGUGAAUCCCAACAAAUCAUAAUUUUAGCUAAAUCAAACCCAUCAUUCUUGAGAACAUUUCUCAUAGCAAAAACACAUAGUAAGUAAGGCAGCCUUGGGUGAAUCCCAACAAGCUAACACUUAAUAACUACUCUAGUUUUAUACUAUAAUAAUGGAAGGCAUUUUAUUGAUUUAAUAUUAUAGUUGAGGGAUUUGUCUCUUUUUUUCAAAAAUAUUUUAUAAUUAAAAUUUUUUGAAAAAAUUGCUCAUUUGGUCUCAUCAAUAAACAUGCAUAUAACCAUUUCAAACUUAUAAACAUGAAUUUAAAUCGUGGAUGGUUGUGGAUAUUCCUAAACUAAUUUCCCCGGCCAUUGGGAAAAUUAGCAUGUGACUAAAACCUUUAAUAUCGAGAUGAACUCCUUCGUCGUCGUAUGCAUCCUUUCUCCUUUUCAAAUAUAAAUUAUAUAAAUUCCUAUCAUCUAUUUCUAUCUAUUGUACAUUACAAAUAGUAUAGAAGAAACCCCGAGUUACAUUCGGGGGGAAUUUAGAUGACAAAAGAAAUUACAAUUAGAAAAUAAGAAAGGCAGGACACGCAGGCCCUAUUUUAAAAUUAAUCACAACCAUUCAAACCUAGAAUGAUUGUAACCAUUCAAAAUAUCACAAUCAUAUUGCGUACUAUAUCCACAACCAUCCACCAUGCAUUCUCAUAAUUUAAACAACUUUAAAUAAAAGAAAAGCACGUAAAAUAAGCAAUCUCAAUUCAUGGAUUAAUUGGAUUUAAUUCCUAAGGUCCCAAACAAAUUUUGGGUCCAUGCAUACGCAAGAAAUAUUGGUAAAAUUAAAUUUUAUUAGGUCAACUUUAUCCUCAACUAAUUUGAGGAAAGAAUGGGAAAAUAAUUCAAAUUAAUCAAAUUAGUUCUAAAUUAAUUCCCAACCUAAUAAUAUAUGAAAUAAAUGAUUCCAGAACACAUUUUAACAAUUAAAAUGGGAUUUAAUUCAGAAGAUUGCCAAAAGUUCAAAACUUCAAGUUUUAGGAAGAAAAAAAAAAUUUAGUUUCCUAAACCACUCUUGCAAUCGUUUUCUAGCAUCACUGGCGACCACCACUGGCCACCAUUUCUACUGUCACCACCACUGGGUUCUGCACUUAUCACCAGUGGCAACGGCUCCCAGCAGUAGCUCCUAGGUGGUCGCAACAAUGGAACUCAGCUACAGCAGCAACCUGCUGUAACUUUUUCUUGCAUAGGUUGCUGCUGCAAUUUGCAGCAGUUUUGAUGCAUUCUCACGCCUUAAAAACUCUUGGUUUGCUUACGCAGCAACCACCAAGAGCUAUAGCAACCUUCCACCACCACCAAGGAAGCCUCCCAUGGCCUCACAUAGCAGCGGCAGCCCUUGGAAGGUCGCUUGCAGCAAUGUCGGCUGUUGCAGCAGCAAAACUGCUGCACUUUGGCUGCAAACCUUUUUUUUUUUUUCAUAAAACUAAGAGACCAGCAACUCUUGCAGAUCAUCAAUAGAGAUUCAGGUCUGAUUCCAUCUCAUAAGAAAAGGAAAACCUGAUAAUCACGUUGGACAGCUUGACCCGCAAAUGCCCGGCAAAGUGAUGAUCAAAAUUCAAGUUUUGAUUGAAUGAAUAACCAAUAAAAUCUGUAACUUUUCCAGAUUUUAAAGGUUAGUCAGAGGCCUCAAAAUUUCAAAAAACCAAACCCAUAACGAUGCUAUAAUCAGAUUACAGCAAACUUGUUCAUUCAAAGCUUUCUUGGCUAAUGCAAGGGAUUAAGAUGGAAGAAUAUCAGACUAGUCGGAACCGUAACAAGAGUCCAAGGUGCAUGAAACCAGUUCCAAGUUUCCAUAUAGUCCCAAUAUUUAUAUUCCUCCGAAACUUAUUCUACACACAAUUUCAUAUAUCAAUUAAAUCCAACCAGUAAUAUUAAUCCAUGAAUCCAAAAUUGCUUAAAAUCAUACGUAAAAUUUUUAGGGAUGGCUCUGAUACCACUGUCGGGUUUUAGGGAUACUACGCAGCGAAAAAAUAAAAAUUUUUCCCUAAAACCAUCCAGGAAUCACCCUAGAUUUUACGUAUGAUGUACUAAAAGAGAGUUUUAGGAUUACCUUAAUCCAAGCGGCGUCUCCCUGCAGCGUUGUUUGAGGAUGGUCAGCCCUUGAGCAGUCCAGUCGUCCUGCCUCUACUGAUAUCCACGCUAGAGCAACCCUGGAUCGUCUCACGAACUAUGUAUUGAAGAGAAAAAGGUGCUAGCUUUCUUACUCUUUUCAAACGUAUUUUUUUUUCUCUCUCGUAUGUGACGCUCACAAACUCAAUUUUUCUCCCGUUUUUCUUUUUUCCUCCUUUCCUGUAUCUGUACCUCAGCCCCAAAUAUCAAUUGGAGAGAGAGAGAUAUAUGAUAAGAUAGAAUGAUGAGUCUUCUUGUCUGAUUCAAAAUCAAAACAAUAACACUUCUCAUCACACAAGACUCUAUCUAUCAUUAUCUGAUAGAUGAGAGAUAACCAUUUACUCUUAUCUGCUCAAAUAGGCCUGGGAUUAAUUUUCUUUUAAAAUUAAAUCCCAAUAGUUUACAUAGUUUCAAUUCAGGAAUAAAUCUCUAUCGCGUGUGACCCAAUAGGUCCCGAAUGCAUUGGUAAUAAUUAUGAUUUAAUAAUUAGAUAAAAUAAAUGACUUUAUUUUAUCAUAACUUAUAAUAAAUAAUUAAUCCAUAAUUAUAAAUCACGAGCGGUGUCUAGCAACACAUCGCGAUUGCCCAAUUAUUCGGAAUUAGUCAAGGGAAUUUGACCUAACCUUUCUGUGAAAAAUUACCGUGUAAUUAUUAUCCUUUCACCAAAGAUAUCCAAUUAGUCAGGAAUAAGGAAUAAGUGCCAAUUCCUUGAUGACUAAUUAAAUUUUCUAGUUCCCGAAAUUUACCCUUAAUUAGGUUAAAUUGAAGACAUUCUUCAAUUUACCUAAUAGUCGACUUUAGGGUUAAUUUCUCACUAGUGGCCAUCCGAAUAUUAACUCCUUCUAUCAGAAUGGUAAAUCCUAUCUUGAUCACCCAUUUUCUUUACGUGCUUCACACUACAUCCAACUUCUACACUUUAAGGUACUCUCAAAGAGUAACAUGUAAUUAGAGUCAAAAUGUAGUGAUUCCCACUGAAGAUUCUAUGGUGAUCUCAAGUCGUAGGAUCACUUACACAAUUUUUCACUAGAGAUACACCAUUGACACUAGAUAGAUAUCAUAACGGGAUCUCUAAACGGAUCACUCCAAUGCAUUUGUACUUUUCAAAUCAUCUACACAUUAACCUAAGUAUCUUCAUACCAUAGUUGAUGAGAACAACCACUAAUUACAUUAAUUAGAGGCUAACUGUGUACUAGUUUUACCGUACUAAAGAUGUCCUAUUUCAUUAGUACAAAAACUAGGGAAUUUUAAUAAUAUUACUAUAAAUGCGAUUGAUAUCUCAUAGUCACCAACUCUUGUGACUAUCAUCACAUUAGCAAAUAUUCUAAGGAUUUUAUCGGUUGUAUCUAAUAUUUAACAGAUAAAUAAGAAGUUAUUAAAAUACAAAACAUAUAAUAAGGAAUGUAUAAAAUAAAAACAAAUAUAUUGUUUUAAGGCAUACAUUCCAACAGAUUGAUACCAUUGAUCCCCAAGUCCGAGAAACUUAUAUCGAUGUCCUGACUGCUUCGAAGUUAUCAAGAUCGUCACACAGUUUAGCGUUGGAGAAGAAUAAGCAUCUAUUGGCGAACUUUAUUUAUUGUCUCCUGUAUAAUGUUAUGGAGAUACUAGAACAUUUUCCCAGUUUCUCGGUUCUGGUGAAGGAUCAAAUGCUAAUACUCCACGAGGGAGUAAGGUUCCUGCGAAACCUCUUCGAGCAGCAGCAAGAGAAAUUCGACGGGCUACACGAUCAAAUGAAGGAUCUUAUUGGAUUUGUGGCCUGUGAUGCAGGAAUUGUGAUUUUAUCCCUUUCCGCAACUGAAAUGAAACAAGGUUUGGCCAAGGAAACAGAUCUUGCGCUUUUUCAUUUGGUCAAAGUGCUUAAGUUUAUUAUGGCAGAAUUUGCACAAAUUUAUCCACCACCAUCAUUCAGCUUUCCUUGGACCAAUGAGUUGGGUUGCUUUGAUUUCCUCCAAGAAAGUCUCCAGGAACAAUCGAAUUCUGAAGCUGAUUCAAUUGAUUUCCCAAAGGAUCAUAUCCACAAAGUGCAAGAGGAUCUUACAUUCUUAAGAUCUUUCCUGGAGAAUAUUGUCACGCAGCGCAACCAGAACGAAAAACUUCAAGCUCUUUGGGAUCGUGGUAUGGAGGUGGCCUAUAAGGCAAAGUUACUCGUCAACUCUAUUGUAUAUGGGGAUAAAUCUGAAUGUUUGGAUACCCUUGCUGGAGACAUAAAGCUGAUGAGGACUGAUAGAGCCGUUAUUUGGCACAUUUUGCAUUGUCAUCUGGUCCUAAUUUUGGCUAUUCAUGGUGCUAAGAAAUGGAAUUUCACUCAUAUUUGAUAUUUGUGUGAAUUGUAGGUGGUUAGCAUUAAAAAUGAUAUCUUGAGGUAAAUUUUCAGAAGACUUCUCAUUUCAGGGCGUGGCCACGCCAGACAAGGUGGACGUUACUGAAAAACCGGACCCCGGUUAACGUGAACCUGAAGCAUGAGAUCAGCGCCCCUUAGGCAAAAGCCUCCUCCUGAGAGGAAUACUACUUACAGCGGCUAUAAAAAAGAGGAAAAAAGGAAGAUUCGGGAAUCACUUCUUUUAGCUUUAGUUUUUACUUUUUGCAAUUUUCGGGUUAGACGCUUUUCUUUUGUUUCUUCUGCGGCUUUGGGUCAGACAUUGGAGACUUUCUUCUUUUCCGUAGUUUUUGCUUUAUGCGAUUCUGACUCUUGAAUUCGUUCCUUUCGCCUUUGACAAUUCUCCGUUGGCUUUUGCUUUGUAAUUGCGGCUCCAAUACAAGACGAAGCCAGGUUUUUCGUUGAUUGUUUCUUCGAUUAAUUCAUCCUCCCCAAUUUUUGGGCAAUUGAUUCUUGGGUAAUUAUGCGGAUGAAGUCAAUUGAAUCACGUGAAAUUGAUACGAUAAGGAGCGGCUAAUUUCCUCCUCUACCCAAAGGUUGACGCGAGGGCGCGAUCCAUAAUAUUUGUGAGAUCUAAUCGAAUCUUCAUUAUCUCUUCCAAUUUAUUGCUAUUCGUGCGUUUCCUGAAUUAAUUGUUCAUGGGUAUUUUAUUAAUUGAAUAUCAACGGCCGGGUAUUUGAUUUAAUUUAAUAGCCUACUGCCACGUUAAUUAAAUAGAAUCCGUAAUUGUUCAUUUAGUUAACAUCUCGUGGCAACCACCAUAAUUGGCUUUAUGAUGGGGAAGCGUAAGAUCUAGCUUAAAUAAACCCGCUUAGCGUGUUUAUUGGUUAGGGUUGGGUUCUUCUAGCUUUAAUGCAAUUGGGUAAUUAAAUUCCUACGGUCGUACCUAGGGUUGUUAUCUGGUUAGGGAAGCAGUCAAUGGUCGUACCUUGACUGCCAAAAAAGUAAGGAAGAACUGGUUGUCAGAGGUUAUUGAUAACUAUAACCAACCUAGUGACGAAUGGAUGAAAUAUCUUUGCAUCGAUGAUCAUUUAAUUGGACCGUGCCUGAGCAGUUGAUCUUUUGGGUAGAAUUUUAUUAAUUGCUACUUUUAGUAACUUGUGCUUUGUGAAUUAGUUUCGAAUUUAGUUUGCUUUAUUUUUAUUCUUAUUUUUCAUUUACCUCCCAUUAAAAAUCCCCCAAUUUAUUCUAUUGGUUUGGAAAGAAAUAAUUUCCUACCCAUUCCCUGUGGAAUCGACCCUACUUGCCAUUGUACGCAAAAUUAAUAUUUGUAUAGACAAAUCUGGUAUAUCGGAUCAAGCAAACUCUUCGGGAAUAUGGUGAAUCAAGUAACCCAUUGCACACCUAGGGUCCCUGCUCCAGUACUUGGAUUUGCUCUAUUAAUUGUGGUUGUAAUUAGGACUUUUUAGUAAUUAUUAUUGCACAGGUUCGGCACCUGUCAAGAACUGAGGCCCUUGGAAUCUUUGCCAACUACAGCAAUGGCACUGAUGCUCAGAGAGUCGCCAACAAUUCAGCUCAUACGUCAUCAAAACUCAGUAGCCCAGCAUUGAAUGAAGCUACGGUGGGUCUUGAUGAAGCAGUGAAGACAAUCACCUAUAGACUUACCGGGGGUUUAAAGCGGCUAGAUAUUGUUUCAAUUGUUGGGAUGGCUGGACUUGGUAAGACAACAUUAGCAAACACAGUUUACCACUGUAUGCAAGAUUCUGUUUGUCGCCACUUUCAUAUUCAUGCUUGGUGUACUGUUUCUUAAGCAUAUAGCAAGCACAAUUUGUUAGCUCAGAUUUUGUGUAGUAUUAAUCAUAGUAGUCCUGAUAAAUAUCUUAACAAAGAUGAAGAUCAUUUGGCUGAAGAGCUAAGGAGGGUUUUGUUGAAAAAUAGGUAUCUCAUAGUUUUGGAUGACUUGUGGGACAUUGAGGCGUGGAAUUUGUUGGAGAGAUCAUUUCCAAAUGAUGCAAUUGGAAGCAGAAUUCUCUUAACCAGUAGAAUUCACAGUUUGGCAUUGCAAUUGAAACAUGAUAGUGAACCUUACCAUCUUCGCCAACUUGCUGACAAAGAGAGUUGGGCAUUGCUGCAAAAUAAGCUAUUUGGCAAAGAAGGUUGUCCUCCAACACUAACUGAAGUUGGAUUCCAAAUUGCAAAAAAACUGUAAGGGACUACCUCUCACGAUUGUCCUUGUUGCUGGAAUUCUUGUAACUACUGAGCAAGAUUGCUGGAAAGAAGUUGCAAAAACUCUAAGUUCUUUAAGUAUUGUUGAGAUUGAACAAUGCAAGAGGACACUGGAGUUGAGUUACAGUAAUUUACCAGGUCAUCUGAAGCCAUGCCUUCUUUACUUCGGAGCAUUCCCGGAAGAUGAAGACGUCCCUGUUCGAAAAUUGAUCUGGCUUUGGACCUCUGAAGGAUUUCUGCAAAAGACUGAAGGAAAGAGCUUAGAGGAUGUGGUGGAUGAGUACUUGACCGAUCUGGUCCAAAGAAGUUUAGUUAUGGUCACCCAACAAAGAUCUAUAGGUGGAGCCAAAGCUUGCCGAAUUCAUGAUUUGAUACAUGAAUUUUGUGUGGAAAAAGCCAAAGAAGAAUGUUUUCUACAGAUUUCUAAUGGGGAAAAUGAUAUUUUUACUCUGACUGGACCGCAUAACCUUCAUCGUUUAUGUAUUCACAAUACCGAGCCAGAGAAGCUUAAAAAUUCAAAGGUAUUUUUUCCCAAUUUACGUUCUUUGCUCUUCUUUGCUGAGCGGAAAGUGGUGCCUUAUUGUCCAACUGGGGUUCUGUUAUUCAAACUUCUUAGAGUGUUGGAUUUGGGAAACUUUAAUCUUGGGAAUAAAUUUCCGAUGGAAGUAGUAUUGCUUAUUCACUUGAGAUACUUGGCGAUUUUGCACGUUACGUCCGUGCCAUCUAAAAUAGCUAACCUCUCAAGUAGAGCUGGCAAUUAUACCCAAAACCCAACAACCCACCCAAUCAACCCACUAAUUUCAGAAGUUGGGUUGGGUAAAUUGGGUGUUGGGUUAAUUUUGGGUUGGGUAAUAAAAACCCAUACAUAUUUUGGGCGGGUUUGGGUAAUUAAGUUGGGUACCCAUUACCCAACUUAAAAAGCAAAUAAACCUCCACCACCGCCAACUUCGCACCUUUACUCUUUAGCAAAUUAACAAUCCUCUCCACGAAGAGUUCUUUUUUUCUUGCUAACAACGAUUUGAACCAAAAUAAACAAAUUUUCAAUUCCACUUUGGGUUCAUUUUUGCUACCCUUUUGCAAUUCUAUCAUCUCAAAUCCAAGCAGAAGUCACAACAUCUCAGAUUAAAACUGUCGAACCUUAAUCCCAUUUGCUCCUGUGGUGUCCUUGGCUAUUGUUCCUACAGGUAUAAAGCCUUUAUUUGUUUCUCCAUAAACUGACCAGUUUCAAUAUUUCCUUAAGGAUUAUAUCAUGUGUUAGCCGGCUGCAAGAAUGAAUCGAUUAUGUCCGUAGUAGUAUACUGGUUCAGGUUUGCAGCUCUAUUAUUUGGCCUGUUAUAAUCUGUUUUUUGUAAUUUUUAUGAUCAUUAUCUAUUAGUAUUUUUAAAUAUAUAUAUAUUUGUGGGCUUUUUGUGACUUGGUUUCCAGACUUUCGUUUUUAGCCUAGUUCAAGUUUUUUUGUUUUCUUAAAAAAAAAAAAAGAUUAAUGGCUAAAGUCACAAUCCAAGUUCUCAGAUAUCAGACUUUGUGUCACAAAUAAUAGUUACUUAUUUUGGUUUCAGCUAAACGCUUAAAGCAAGACUAACACUGGUAUGAUUAUGGGUAUUUCCUUUUGGAGUUUGAUUCAUUGAUCCAACUUUUGUUUGUAUGACUUAUUUCUCAAAAUUUAAUACUUUCAUUCAUUCUCACAAUACACCAAACAAUGUAUAUAGGUUAUAACCAAAUUAGUUCAUCACAUUAAAUUACUAUGCUAUAAUUAAUUAUAUUUCUAGUGCUUACCUUAUUAUAUAUAUAACUGCUUGUGUUUGUGAUCUGUUUGUUGGGGCUUUAAAUAACUAGCUUCCUAUCUCAUCAUACUGUUUGUAAACUGAUGACAGGAUAUGUCAGUUGCUUGUGAUCUUGAUGAUGAUGUCGAUGAUUGCAGUCAUAGGAGUAAUACGGGGACAUAUAAGAGAUCCCAUUCAGCAGUUUGGCCUCAUUUUCAUAGAUUAGAACCUGAUGAGCAUGGUAGACGGAAAGCUAUAUGCAAAACAUGUGGUAAGAAGUACUUAGCAGAUAAUGUGAGUGGCACAUCUAAUUUAUUACGCCAUUUGGCAAGUCAUGCUCAUAAUGAGGAGCAGCCUACUGGAUUAACCACGGUUGAUCAUGAGUUAUAUCGUGAUAAGGUGGCUAUUGCAAUUGUUAAACAUAAUUACCCUUUCCAAUUUGUGGAACACAUUGGAAUUAGAGAAUUGCAUUUAUUUUUAAAUCCCUCUGUGAAAAGCAUUUCACGAAAUACAGCUAAAUCUGAUGUGUUAAAGAUUUAUAGAAGAGAAAGAGAAAAGGUGAAAAAAGAGUUUGAACUUGUACAAGGCCGAAUUUGUUUGACAUCUGAUCUAUGGUCUUCUAUUACUAGUGAUGGAUACAUGUCACUUACAGUACAUUAUGUUGAUCAGAAUUGGAAUUUACAGAAGAGAAUAGUUGUGUUUCGUCAUGUACCCCCUCCUCAUAAUGGUCCAAAUUUAUCCGAGAAGCUGAUUAAUUUUCUAAAAGAAUGGGGAAUUGAUAAAAAAGUUUUCACCAUCACUCUAGAUAAUGCAAAAUACAAUGAUAGAGUGACUAGAUUAUUGCAAAAUUAUUUUUUAUUUAAUGGUUCUUCUAUUUGUGGAAGUGAAUUUCUUCAUGUUCGUUGUGGUGCACAUGUGUUGAAUUUAAUUGUGAAGGCUGGAUUGGAUGUGAUUGAUGAAGCAAUUUAUAAAAUUAGAGAAAGUGUAAAGUAUGUGAAAGGAUCUGAAAGUAGGGUCAUAAAGUUUGCCGAAUUGGUGAAACAACUGUCAUUGGAGACAAAUAAAAAAUUGCGACAAGAUAUAGUAACUAGAUGGAAUUCUACCUAUCUGAUGCUUGAGAGGGCCUUACUUUUUAGACAUGCAUGUUCUCGACUUCAAGAUGUAGAUGAUGACUACAAGUUGUGUCCUUUAGAAGAGGAAUGGCAGAGGGUCGAAAAGAUUGCGGAGUUUUUGAGGCCUUUCUAUGAUAUGACACUUUUGUUCUCAAGAAGUAAAUACCCCACAGCUAACUUAUACUUUCCCAAUGUUUGGAAGAUUCAAUGUCUCUUAAAUAAAGAGGCCAAUAGUCCAGAUUUUUUUGAUUAGUGAAAUGGCUUCUAAUAUGAAGACCAAAUUUCAAAAGUAUUGGGACUGCUAUAGUGUUAUCUUAUCAUUUGCCAUUAUCUUGGAUCCUCGUUACAAACUCCAGUUUGUGGAAUAUUGUUUUUUUGUGUUGGAUCCUCAAUCACGGGAUGAAAAGGCUCUUAGUAUUAAACAAAAGUUGUUUCGUUUGUUCGAAGAAUACUCUAAGACCAACACUGGUAGUACUGCCGCACCAAUGGAGAGUACUUUUAAUGGUGAUGAUGGACAAACUGGAGAUCUCAUGGAUGUGAGUAAAAUUAAUUCAUAUGUUUUUGUAUUUUGUUUCAAUUUAUAUAACCUAAACGUGCAAUAUUUAUGAUAUUUGCAGGGUUUUGAUGUGUACCAAUCUCAACAAGGGGCAAGUGGUAACAAAUCUGAGUUGUAGUUGUAUCUUGAGGAGCGACUAGUCGAUCGUAAGCAACAACCAGAUUUGAAUGUUUUGACUUAUUGGAAGGAGAGUAGAAUUAGAUAUCCUGAACUUUCACUUAUGGCUCUAGAUAUCUUAAGUAUUCCUAUUACCACUGUAGCAUCUGAGUCUGCUUUUAGUCAUGGUGGACGAAUUCUUGGAAAAUUUCGAACUUCUAUGUUGCCGGAUAAUGUGGAGGCACUAUUGUGUUCUCAAGAUUGUUUGUGUAAUAGUGAAGGUAAAUUAGAUAUUUAGUUGCAUUGACUGUUAAUUUUCAGUAGCUUAUGAUCUCUUCAAUUAUUUUCUUCAUUGGUUGAUUAAAUCUGCUAAAUUUUAGAGAGUCCUGAUAAAGAUUUUGAAGUUGAACAAGAAGACGAGGAGCAAGAUCUUGGAAUUGAUAUUAGUAGAUUUAUUGCUGAACAAGAUGCAUCUACAAAUGUUGAUAC
rnacentral:lncRNA from 1 species